UCAAACUCCGGCGAAGUGUCAUUACUAUCUGUCUGGAAAGAAAUGUAAUGUUUUGCAUAAAUAAUGAGGCUGCUGGUGUUUGUCCUGAACGAACCUUUGAUUUCACUCCACGCCGCACUGGUGUAGAUGAAGAGAAAAUUACGUGUGGUGCUGGGGAGUUCAGAUUCAGGAUUGUCUGGUCCUUGAUGGACUUUAGGCUGUAAUCCUGUGACUUGGUAAACUUAGUUCUGAUGUAAUGAAGUGAUGCAAUGAUGUAGUGAACUAUGUUAAUCGUGAUGUAAUAAUGUGGUGCACUAAGUUAUAUUAUUGUUAUUAAGUAACUUGAUGGAUUAUAAGUAAUGAGUAGCGAACUAAGUUAUUAUAUAUUAUGCUGGCUUGUUAUACCAAAUUUGUUGGCUUAAUUUUUUGGCAUAAUUAAAGAAGAUUAGUGCACUUGGUGUUUUGUUAGACAUGUAUUAGGCGGAAAUACGAACAUUUGUCACUGUUAAGGGACAUUUCUACCAUAUUUAUCUGUGGUUUGUAUUGAUUGCUCAUGGUCACGUCUGUGUUAUCUAAAUGUCCUGAAAAUUUAAUUAUUUGGAAGAUGGCUUUGCAUUGUGUUUGGUUGCUGUUAUUCGGAACUAACUUCUGAAGCACAACCUGGGUUCAACGAGGAAGGCAGGAGACACCUUCAUGUUAUCAGUCCUGGACCACAUGUUUUUUGGGAAGGAGUGUAUUUCAUGAGAAAGUGGCUUCAUUUUUUGAUCCAUGUUGCCUGUUCAAGCCAAUACAAAAUCUGCUGGUACAUAAGAAAUUUGAGGAUCUUUACAAAAGAAACGAUCUUCAAGACACCAUGCCACCAGAGGUACUUUUUUUACCCAUGUUCUCUUUUAUAAACUGUGUUCGGUUCUGGGCUUCUGGCAAUGCUUCCACAUAUGCAUAUGUGGAUAUGCUAAUUGACGACAUCUGUGUUGAUUUUCUGCUAAAUCAAGUAUAUUACCUAGGGCAUACAUUUAUUUUCCCAGUAAAUCAAGUAUAUUACCUAGUGCCUUUCCUGUCAUACGCGAAUGUGAACAAUUCAUGAUUUUUACAGUAUAUGAUUUUGCUCUUAAGUUAUGUAUGAGUGUAAUCUCUUGUUCUAAAUAGUGUGUGAAGUUGGUGGUGACGACAAAUGCACUGGAAAAUGUUGGAAUUGCUAACUUGGAUACAUGGAUUUAGCACGAUGAGAGGAUAAAGGUCAGUAUGUUGUAAUAUAUGCCAUUUCAAUCUGAACUUCUGAAUGAUUGCCAUCUCUACCUCAAAAAACCGUUGGUUGUAACACUCUUGAUGGUUUGGCUCUACUAGCUGUUUUGAACGCAUUGACGAGCACCAAGAGGCAUGAUUCUCCUGACCAUAGUUUAAGAAACAAUCAACAUUUGAUCGAUUUUCUGUGAAUCAUUAUUUAAACAGCACAAAACAAAAGGUUCAUGCUGUCUUUUGUUCUUGCACACCUUGAGGGCAGUUAUGAAACCAGUGGACUGGUAACAAUUGAAGAUGGCAACUUCAAAUAAAGUGGAUUGGGAUCACGUAUCUUCAGGGCCAGUAAAUAAAUUUGGAGUUAUAGAACAUCAGAAUUAUAAUACGUUGAGCAUGAACUGAAAACCUGAAAUAGUAUAGAACAGAACAUCACAGCAAACCUGAGAUUGACAUUGGUUAAUGCUUUCUUCACGGCACUGCAACUUAUUUCCUCCCUGAUUUUGCUCCAAUCAAAUGGAAAACCAAGAGAAUGGACAAGAAAUUUUCUUUGGAACGUGGAUGAGGAGGCUAAGGGGAGGAAAUGUCCCGUGAAUUGGCGCUCUGUUUGCUCCCCCAAGAAUGCCGGUGGUUUGGGCAUCAAGGACACUGCUUGUGUUAGUAGAGCAUUGUACCUGCUUGUUUUAGUUUGGGCAUCAAGAUACCUUGGUCUGGCAGCCCUACCCCCUGUGAUAAUUAUUGAUAAAAGGCAUAAAGCUAUAUGUUCUCUGUUUGCACUGUUGCACACACAUUGAGCUUGGUGAUGCAGCUAAAGUGGGUUUUUGGAUGCCUCUUUCGGGUUGCCAGAAGAAUAUUACUGUCAAAGAAACUUUGGAACUAAAUGGUUGGAUGUGUGACAAAGUGUGGUCUGUUAAGUUGUCCAUGGGCCUGUAUGAUAUUCGAUGGCUACUAACGGCGGAUGGUCGCUUCGGCUGCCUUGCAUAUGGAUUUCACUUUGCUGCAAACUCCCCUCAACCACUGUUGGAUAGUGUUUGGAAACUGGAAAGUGAAGGCUGUGAGGAAUCACCCAUGGUCGACUUCUACUUGAUUUGGCCCGUCCUCUAGGGUUCCUCCCUCACUCCCCCCGCCGCCGCCNNNNNNNNNNNNNNNNNNNNNNNNNNNNNNNNNNNNNNNNNNNNNNNNNNNNNNNNNNNNNNNNNNNNNNNNNNNNNNNNNNNNNNNNNNNNNNNNNNNNNNNNNNNNNNNNNNNNNNNNNNNNNNNNNNNNNNNNNNNNNNNNNNNNNNNNNNNNNNNNNNNNNNNNNNNNNNNNNNNNNNNNNNNNNNNNNNNNNNNNNNNNNNNNNNNNNNNNNNNNNNNNNNNNNNNNNNNNNNNNNNNNNNNNNNNNNNNNNNNNNNNNNNNNNNNNNNNNNNNNNNNNNNNNNNNNNNNNNNNNNNNNNNNNNNNNNNNNNNNNNNNNNNNNNNNNNNNNNNNNNNNNNNNNNNNNNNNNNNNNNNNNNNNNNNNNNNNNNNNNNNNNNNNNNNNNAGCGCGCGCGGCUACCUGCCCGGGGCAUGGGCGGCGGCGGUGCUCCUCGGCUCGGCGGCAGUGGCCGGCGGCGCGUGAGGUGGUGGCGUGGCCCCUUGGCGGCGAGAAGGCGUGGUGGCGCUGGUUGGCCGGCGGCACGCCCCCAGCCCAGAUCUGGCCCUGCGGGUCCCAUCUGGGUCCUAGCGGGCCGGCUCCGCGGCGUGGCUUCAUCGUCGUCUGUGUGGUCUGGAGGAGGAGCAGCUCGAAUGGGGGCGGUGAUGCCGGCGGCGUGCCUGCUAGAGCGUGGUGGCAGGAGCUUUACGGGCGUGGAGGUCCCGGCCGGGCCUGUGGGCCCACGGGCCUGGUAUGCUCCUGCUACUGUGUCCGGUCGGCUACCAUCGUUGACAUUUUAACCCUAAAAAACUCAGGAUUUUAUUUAUUCAUUUUAUUUUGGGAAAUAUAUAAUUGAAAAUUAGUUUACAUAUACAUAUAUAAUGUGAAAUAAAGACAUAUUUCAUAUAUUUGAAUCGCUGGUUUGAACCAUCCCAAACAAGGUGUACCACGAUUAGCUACCGAGGCAAUAUAGAGGAACAAAGGCUACAUGAUAGACUAGCAAGGCAUGCGAUCGAAUUGGCAUCGUCGAUGUUGAACUAACACCGGUGGUCAGGGUGGCACCUAGAGGAGGGGAUGUUGGCGACGCAAGGGAAGGAGGGGCAGCGCCAUCUGAAUGGUGGAUGGAUGGAUGGGUGCAACAACCUCCGUGAGGGGAGAACUGAGAGUCGGGUGGUCUUGCGAAGAAGGCAACGUGUGUAGGGUUGAUAGCUCGGCAGUGAAGUUGUAAUCUGUCCUACUACGUGGCACAACAGGUUGGGGUCCGUCCGCAGGGACAGUGAGAGGAAGUGAAGAAGAGCUAAUGUCGAUAGGCCAAAACAAUUUAUGGGAUCAUGAAACUUUAUUCAGGGUUAUUAAGUGGUAGUUACACGAUCAUGUGGCAUUCUCAGCCCGACAUGACAGUUGAAACCUAAUGACAGAGAGGGUUUUGCUAAUCUAUCAGCUUCAAAGUUGUGGCUUCUACCUUCAUGACUGUAUUGCACACCUCAAAAUCAUUCGUACGCUGGGAAAUCUCUAGAACAAUAGCACCGUAGCGACCUCCUGCCCCUAUCUUGAAUGUCUUUUAUUGCUUACAAACAGUCUGACACAAUUAUUACCUUGCGCAACAUCCAAUCAUCAGCCAAGGCCAAAGCUUCUCGACACGCUAGGGCUUCCAGAACGGUAGGAUAGGUGAUGUUCUUGAAUGUGAUCGAGGACGAGCCUAGGAACUUGCUCUGAUCGGUGUGGCACAUGACUCCCACUACUCAACGGCCACCAUCGCUAUACACCGCACUGUCAACAUUAAAGCUUGCAAAACCCUCUAGAGGCGCUUUUCCAAAUAGCAUGUGAUUCAUUCAGAGCUCUAGGCCAUUCGGAUGGUGAUUUGUUCUGUUGGGUGCUCUGGAUGUCAUAGAUGAAGUUUUUGACUAAAAAGUGUGCUCAAAGAGACAACUGGAACUCUCCUUCAUGAAUUUAUUUGCGCCAAGCGUGCCAAAUUGCCCAUAAUGUGACUACCAUAUCAAUAAAAUCAUAAUGUGCCUAUGUCUCCAUCAUCAUAAAGAGCCAAUGUCUGGUGUGUGGCUCUCUCGUCUCAAUCAUGGGUUCUACUACUUGGUAAACAUUGAAUGUCUAGUGUGUCACUACCAUAUGAAAGAUUUCUUUUUUCAGUAUCACAUUGACUCAGUCAUUUCGAAACCAGGAAAAGAGCAAUGCCGACUCUCAUGUUUUUAUGGGAAGCUAAUAUGAGCCUAAGGUACAAGACCUGGACACCAUAAAACAUCUGCGAAGUGAGAGCACAAUACCUUGGGGUGUGCAUUGGUGACUUUAAUGAAGUUAUUUGACAAGAGAAGCUGUGGGGCACUAACAGGACAUAGGGUUUUACACUUCAUAGCAGCCUGGACCUAGGUAAAAUCAUCAUGUUACGUAGGUGGGAUUCGUUCCCCUCUUUGCCCCUCACCGAACCAAUAAGAGGAGCAUCCAAAGCUCCCUGGUGCUGUGCAGCAAGCCACGACACAUGUGUUGUUUUAAUGAAGUUGUCACGCUAUUUUAGUCUUCAACCAUGAAAGUUUUGCAUGUUCAUUUUGAUACAUGUCUGGAGAUUUUUUUCUUAAUGUAUGGCAUUUUGUGUUCAUUUUGCCUGGCGGAUCCUGUAGUCACUAUCCUCAUUGAUAGUUUCAGAUCCCAGGUGAUUUUUGUGGCUAUGCAUUGUCCUACUUUUGUCAUAAUGUACGGAUUAAUUUGAGAGAAAUUUNNNNNNNNNNNNNNNNNNNNNNNNNNNNNNNNNNNNNNNNNNNNNNNNNNNNNNNNNNNNNNNNNNNNNNNNNNNNNNNNNNNNNNNNNNNNNNNNNNNNNNNNNNNNNNNNNNNNNNNNNNNNNNNNNNNNNNNNNNNNNNNNNNNNNNNNNNNNNNNNNNNNNNNNNNNNNNNNNNNNNNNNNNNNNNNNNNNNNNNNNNNNNNNNNNNNNNNNNNNNNNNNNNNNNNNNNNNNNNNNNNNNNNNNNNNNNNNNNNNNNNNNNNNNNNNNNNNNNNNNNNNNNNNNNNNNNNNNNNNNNNNNNNNNNNNNNNNNNNNNNNNNNNNNNNNNNGUUUCAAACUUCAUGGCAAAAUUGCCAUGCCAUCAUGCAGGAGAGGCACAACAAUUUUUUUAUGGAAACAAUUCACAUGUAGGAACUCCCUGGUUAGUACUAGGGCACAUGUCAAUUAUAUAGCUAGAUAAAUGUAAAGCAUAUGGCAAAAUAUGAACCGUAUCUACCUAUAUGUCAAGGUUCACCAAUCCAUAAGAAUGACAAUUUGUUAUUUUAAUGUGUCCCAUGGCAUUUCUAAUAAUGUGUUCCAUGGCAAUUUCUUCUUUGUUAGUAACACUAAUACUACUGUGUCCGGUCGGCUACCGUCGUUGACGGUGGAGGUCGUGCCCUCCCGCGUGCCGACGGUGCUGCGGCCCCUAGCCCCGACUCCUAUUCUCCAUUGUGCAGGCCUCACUUUGUGGUGCCGUGGUGAGACGGCGUGGAGGCUUCAUGACCGCGGUGGCGCAAGAUGGUGGGUGGUCGGUUUGGUGGCAGGCUCUAGAGCAUCCGAGGUGAAGGUUGGGAUCGGGGGAAACUCCUGUCGGCCUGUCCGACACCGACGCGGCGAUGCCAGUGGGUGCUCCCGGACCUUCCUGGAGGGCGUCGGGGGUGACCCUUCCUCUCGCCUCGUUGCGUAUCGGGGGAAACCCUUGGCAGCAACGUCGUCAUCGUCGCGGUCCUUCUUGGAGGUGUUGAUUGGUACCGGUGCUUCAGAGCCUUGGAGCUUGGUGGGAGAUCUUCGGUGGGCGCAGUGGUCGUGAAGCUUCUUCGUUUCCGUUAAUCCGCCAUUGUCGGCAUUUUUUCUCUUUCGUUUCUUUUGGGUGUGAUUGUGCUGCUUCUGCCCAACACCUAUCGUUGGCUGUAUCGAUUGGUUGCUUUGUAAUACAAAGCGGGGGAAAACCCUUUUUCUUAAAAGUGAAGGCUGAGCCCAAAAUUAAAUUUUACUUGCGGCUUCUAUUGAAGAAUGGCACCUCUUCUGUCCUAUGUGAUCAGGUUCCUGAAUCUGCUACUCAACUGACGUUUAACUGCUCCUUCGCUCGCCACCUCUUCUGUCCCUCUGACAAUAAGGUGGCUACCGUCGGAUUUCGUGCUGUCACAAUCAAAGUUUGGUGGCACAAAUCUUCCUCCCUGAGCAAGUUUGCUGUCUUGAAGAAGCAAGACACUGCUGCUGAUUACAUAUCGUAGAAUCACUACCCCAAACAGACUUUUUCGUGACGGCCAGACACGUUCGUGACGGGCGCGAAACCUCCUUCAGGAAUGUGUACGUGUUCCUGACGUGGAUGGUCAACCGAGGGGAAAGAUCGUUACGUUCCUGACGCUCUCAGCAAUAACCUUCAGGAAUGAGAAUAACCUUCAGGAACGCAGUUGCACGUUCGCGUCGGGACACUAUCCACGUCGCGAAUCACUUUGCACACCUUCAGGAACGUAUAUGUGACCGUCAGGAAGAUACCUAUGCGGGACCCGGAGAUAUUUUCGCUUUUGAGGCGCGUGAUAUUUUCGUUUGGAGAGUGAAAAGCGCGCUGAAAUUUCGUUCCCAGGGUGUAUUUCGUGCGACUUGCGCUCUCAACAGGAGGGCUUGGUCAAAACACAGGAGGGCUUGGUCAAAAUACCUAGAACUCGAUCCACUUUUCCCCAUCGAGAUACUCCUCCCACUCCCCCGUCCAGCGCCGCCACCUCCCCCGUCCAGCGCCGCCACUUCCCCCGUACCGGCCGUCCAGUUCCGAUCGGCCGCCCCCCCUAGCCGUCGAGCGCCGCCCACAUCGCCGUCGAGCGCCAUCCCCCUCGUCGUCGAGCGCCACCCCAACUCGCCGGCGACGUCCAGAUCCGCCUCCCUGGCCGGCGAUUUCCAGAUCCGCCUCCCUCCCCGUGCAGAGGUGACUCCCUGCCCGUCCAGGCCCUCUUUCUCAUCUUCCCUACCCAAUCUGGCUGUUGUAUCAAAUAGUUUAGAUGUGCUGCACAGCUACAAAAAAAUCUAUUUCAUUCUUAAUUCUGAAUAUGUAACUUUUGUGCAUUUUAUGUCCAUGCAAAGAACUUCUGUAUGUUGAAAAAAAAUGCUAUUUACGAUUGAAAAUUAGUUUCAAAUCUGUGUACAGUGGUACAUUUUUCCUUUUUAGUUAACAAUUUCAUUUUGUACUUAAACGAUGUUGAUUGAGUAAUCUUGUAGUACUUGUGAUAAAUUCGCUAUGUUUCUGCAGUGGCUCAUUAUCAUUUAUUCAGACCAAAAGCGUGUUGGUAAGUUGCAUUCAGUUUCAUUUGACCUCCCAGUAUGGGUAGUUUGUUGAAAAAACAUGUUCCCUUAUGUAGGGAAAGAUGUAUGGCCCUGCAGAAUGAGUUAGAAAUUAUGCUUCUAUAUAAUGUGGUGGAUUAUGGAUCACUAAUGUAAUUUGUGUUCUCAGAUAUUUCUUUUUGGAGGUCAAGUAUGGAUUAUGGAUUAUGGAUUACUAAUGUAAUUUGUGGUGGAUUAGGGAAAGAUAUAUUGCUAUCCCUAACCACCUGAGAACAGAAUAGAAGAUGUCUUUCAUGUAUAUUUUGACUAACCACCUGAGAAUGAUUAUUUGUUCUCGUACAUGUUUUCUUUCCUUGUAGAUAAUUGAUAGAACAUUUAUUCAUUUAGCAUUUAGAGCCUUUUUGCAGCACAAUUUAAACUUUUACCUCCUCUCCAAUGACGACGCUGCUCUUCCCCAACGACAGCUUGCUGCUGAACUCUGUCAACACCUGCUGCUAAUCGUCUCUUGCAUCUACAUGUUCCUGUUCUUCUCCAUCUUCAAAGCCACGUCUUAGACUGCUGCAACACCAAGCUCCAGAAGCCAAAUUUAUGUUCUGUACUCCAUUAUCUCACCUCUUCCCUCGCUGAUUUCUUGAACCCCUUGCUUGUUCAGUUAGUGUGAUGUCUGUUCCUUUAUGCUUCCAAUUGAGAUGAUCUAGUUCUAGUUUUAUCACCUUAGUAUUUCAAUUAUUUGCUCCUUUGCAAGACUGAAGAUCCGAUGCUCUGUUAGAUUUAAAUUUCUUGUUCAACUUAAGAGAAAAUGUUAGUGUCCUGUUGAUUGUGUUCCAGCAUGAACUCGUUCCGAACCUCACCUACUGCCGUUUUAUUCUAUAUCGAGUUUUGUCCAAGUUUUGAGUGUUGGUUGUUUGUUAGAAGAGCAUCUUCUCUUAUGUAGGAAAAGAAGAAUGGCCUAUGGCAGCAACAAAGAUGAACACUUGCAAGUUCAUGAAGUUGGAAGUUUGCAAAUGUGGUUGAGAGUGGAGAUUGUGGCCCCAUCAAUAAUAUAAUGUUCAAAAGUGUCUUGUAAGUUCCUGCACCUUUGCUCUUUAUUCAAAACUACGACAAAUGUUAAUCUAAAAUGUAACAUUUUUGUUUUUCAAUAAAUUGUUUGUUCCAUGAUCAGUACAGUUGUAUUAUAAUGAUGGCAUCCUUUGCAUUUCUCUUGAACUUGUGUACACAAACAUAGAAGUAGAACAGCAAAAGGUUGUCAGUGCAUUAGCUUCACCCUGCUGCUCCAAUAACACUUAUACUACACGAUGUAUAUACCUCUAAACUUGCAUUUAUGAGUAUGUCCCCAGUUAUUCUAAUUUUCUUCACAAAUACAGCUUCUGAGUAGAAAUCGUUGUAGAUACUUGGGGCCACCAUUCUCCUCACCAGACCCUUGGGUGGGCGAAGGCCCUCAAGCACCUCCACUUGAACUUCUGGUGAGUAAGUCUGUAAGGAACCACCCCAGGACAGUUCUAGUCAUAUUAGUCUUUUCUUAUCAGCUAGCUUUGCAUCGCCCGCCUCCUUGUUUUUAACAUUUUCAAGAUGAUGAAUUUUUGGAUUGCCUUGCAGCUUGUUUAGGCUCUCCAACUGUUUUAGCUCAUGCCAAUGUUCCGUCCUUACUUGAAAUACAUCAAGUUCUUUUAGUGAUGCUAAACUGCUGAUGUUCAGAACUUGCAUCGCAAAGCUAUAAAUAUGCUGCUUACUGCUAGUUUUCUACAUGUAGUGCUAGUUCUGUACAUGCAGUUUAGUGUUCCGCAUACUUAGAUUUUUCCUAUGAAGUGAUGAUUUUGUUUGCUAUCAUGUAAAGUUGUGAAGGGGGUUGGUCAUCACAAAAUUUCAUUUGCCAUGAAUACUAUGGAUAUAGGUCAUUGGAUUGCAACCAUUUAUUUUUUUCUUCCCUUUUCUUUUCUUUUGUUCAUUAUGUUCCGGUUACAAUUUAAAUAAUUGCAGCCUGUACUUGGCAAUAAGAGAAGUCUUCUUCACUUGCUUGGUGGCUAGCAACAAGUGUGUCAUGAGCUGGAGCUUACCUUUUGGUUUGAAAACCUGUAUGUAUAACAGUUUUGCCUUUCACCGUUGUUCAUUGAAAUCUCCUAUAUUUUUCUGUCGUAUAGGUGAAUGGAACCUUCCAAGCCCACGUGAAUGCUGAUACUCCGUUGGCAGAAUGUUCCCAUGAUGAAGACAAUCCUCAUGCUACUCAUGCGGAUGAGCAUAGUUCUAUUCCAACACAGGACAAACAUUUAGGAAUUCCAGUAGUAUAGCUAGUUAAUAUUGUGAACUGCAGUGCAGUUAGGCUUUCUUUGUCAAUUGCUUCUCCUGGCAAUUUAGGAAUCAACUAGUAUGCGUGUUUUGGACUUGGUGACACCUCCUGUUAAGUCAAGCUUCCAUGAAUCAUGACUUGGAUAUGAAUGUGUGGAUCUUGUGAACAAUGAGAUUUAAAUAAAUUGGAUGGGUACAUUGUGACCUAGGAAUUGGUUGUGAUUUUAAACCGGGUCGUGUGACCUUUGUGUACGCAUGAUUGUCAAAAGAUUUGCAUGUGGCUGUGAAUAUAUACUGUUUUCCAAUAAUAUUUUUGGUUUGUCUUGGUUGAUUCCUGACGACUGUUUUCAUACUUUCCUGACGAAGCUAGCCGUCAUGGAUAUAUGUUGAGCUCAUUCCUGAAGGUAUGGUCCUGAGAGCCACAGAAGAUGUUCCUGACGGUAUCUCCUGACGGUGGGGCCGUCAGGAAUUUGAGUUUGGGAGGCGAGGGGCUCCCCUCAGGAAUUGCCGUCAGGAACACUAUUCGUGACGGGGACCGUCAGGAACAAUCCUCUUUCCUGACAAGCUGUUUCUGACGGGAAAUUCCUGACGGCAGGGGCUCAUUCCUGACGAAAACUGUUGAUUCCUGACGGAUUUUGGCCGUCAGGAAAAAGUCAGUUUGGGGUAGUGAAUCUAUGGAAAGGGAGGAACUGCCGAUCUUUUGAGGACGUGAGUGCAGACGCUGAGGUUGUAGACAGUGUAUGGCUUAUGCUUAUAGUCCGAGGUAGCGUCCUCCAAAGCAUGGUUGGCUCCCUUUGAUGCUUCAGAGCAAACUUUGAUGGUUAGCAUUGCCGAUGACCCUGAGUCUGAAACUUGUUUGCUCGUGAGACAUGUUCAACUGAAUUUGGAAACAUGUGAUCAAUGAAGGUUUCAGUCAAGGCAUUAUCCAAAUGCAAGCAGAGAUGUUCAUCUUGAAUGAUGGCGCUUAAUUUUCCUAAACAGUCAAUACAUUGUCCUUAUAUUAACUAGCAUUCUUCUUCCAGUCUCAGCAUGACAUAGGACGCCGCUCGAGCAUUGUCUAACUAUAAGAAGUUAAAAGAAUCACGCGACGCGCCCCAACCUCUGAAUCUUCCAUGGAGCUUGAAGGGAAGCCUGAGGCCAGUAUUACAUGGUUGCUUCUGGGCUUGCAUUGUGUUUAAAUGUUAGUUUAUGUUGCACUGACAUGAUGUUAACUUCACUAUUUUUGUAGGCAUUAUAUACAAUUUUUCUGCUCAUUUGUACUUGAUGCAUUUGCCAAACAGUUGUCUGGUCCUGCUAUUUCUUUUUACCUAAAUGUUAGAAGGCUGAUGUCAGAUUUUUAAGGAGUCGGAGCGAACGACCUCGUGCAUGUCGGGUCCCACGCACCAAUCCUGAAGUGUUCACUGCAAAUACAUCCUUUGAGCAAACUACAAGGUGUUGGCACUAAGCACUAAUUGGUUCGCUCAGGAUGUCAAUAUGAGCGAACACAUUCACAGACGAUGAUAAUUUAUGUUUUUAGAGCAUGUCAAUUAUCACCUUUUUCCGUUGAUGUAGCAUGACGAUUUCAUUCAGCUAGUAUGGCAAUUCCUGAAUGGCAAUUUUUAGUUUACAACAUGGCAACUCCUUAUACAAAAUCACAUUUUUUGAGCAUUCGCUUAAAGUUUUUUCAAUGAACGAAAAUGUUUGCUUGUUCGUGUGACAUCUAGGCUUAAGAAAAUGAUAUAUUACUCAUAUCAACAAGGUACACCUGCUUUUUAGGGCGCCAUCCGAAAGAAACAUCCAAAUUUAGUGCGUGCACGAGUGAGGAAACACAACUAAAGGGUCGUUACUAAACCCUCCCCCUUUAGUCCCAGUUCUUAUACGAACAGGGACUAAAGGCCCUCCACGUGGCCGCUGCCUGGAGGUCCACAUUUAGUCCCGGUUGAUAACACUAACCGGUACUAAAGGAAAUUUUAUGAUUUUUUUAUUUUUUUUAUUUUCAAAUUUCUGAAUUAUUUUAACCUCUAAUCUCUAAUCAACCCUCAUCACUGCUCAAUUUAACCUCUAAUAUCUAUUCACCCCUCAUCAUUCCAAAUCAUCUAACUUCUCGGACGGUCACCCAUCCUCUCAUUACUCCAGUCUGAGCACGCUUAACUUCAGGGUUCUAUAUUUCCUCGUUUCCAAGUUGUUUUCCUGACAAUAGUAAGAUGUCAAUCCUAUUAACCCUCAGGAAUUUAGCUUGAGCAUGAAGUCACACAUUUCAUUGUUUGAGUUUGAAACUAUUGUUCUAAAAAACAAUAAUUAUUUAGUAACACUAAUAUUUCUUGAAUAAGUAGUUUGACCACAAUUUGACCAUAGUUUGACCAAUGUUUGACCAGAUUUGACCAAAAUACAAAAAAACUGAAAUAAUUAUUUAGUAACACUAAUAUUUUUUAAUAAGUAGUUUGACCAUUGUUUGACCACAGUUUGACCAUAUUUGACCAAAAUUCAAAAAAACUGAAAUAAUUAUUUAGUAACACUAAUAUUCUUGAAUAAUUAGUUAGUAACACUAAUACUUCUUGAAUAAGUAGUUUGACCAGAUUUAACAAAAAUUCAAAAAAAUUGAAAUUUGAGCAUAACUUUUUUUCCUUUUAGAAUUUGAGGAUUCUAAAAAUUUGCAAACAGGCCACCUUGAUCUGAUGAUAACCAGAAUAAGCAUCUAAAAAGCUCAAACGCUCACAACUCGCCGUAGCAUCAAUGAUCUGAUCAAUAUGGGGAAGAGCAAAAGGAUCAGCUGAGCAAAGCUUUGUUAAGGUCUGUGUAAAUCCACACACAUACGCCAAAGUGCCAUUUUUCUUAAGUACUAGCACCGGAUUAGCUAACCACUCAGAAAGAAAAACUUCAACAAUGAACCCGGUUGCCAAGAGGGCCACCUCUUCUCCAAUGGCCAUGCCUCUCCUUAUUAAAACAAUGAAGAAAUUGUUUGACCGACUUAAACUUAGGAUCAAUAUUGAGAGUGUGCUCAGCGAGUUUCCUAGGUACACCUGGCAUGUCUGAAGGCUUCCAUGCAAAGAUGUCCUGGAUCUCAUGGAUGAACUCGAUGAGCGCGUUUCCUAUUUCGGAAAGUGCUAUGCUAGUUUCUUAUGUUGCAGAUCAUGAACUUUGUAAGAUCAAUUCUUGUAAUGUUGAACCCACCAGUCUAUCUUUAAGACUGCUUUUAAGUUUCAUUUUGUGCAAAUUUUCACUCUCUAUGUUAAUGUUUAGUUGCCCGGUCAAUGCAAGUAAAACAAACUGCUACCAAAUUAUAGGCAAACAAACAAAAUGUUGCCAAAAUUCAUUUCCAUUCAAACAAAUACAUGUCAUAUACAAUUGGAUACAUCAAGCAUGCACCACACUUUAUUCAUUCUCAUUCCCUACUACAGGAUCACUUCUUAAAAACUACAUGCACUAUUAUUGCAACCAAUACAACAAAAUGCACUGAAAAUACUCCUAUAUAGGAAAAUAAGCUCAUUUACUAUCAAAAGUGCUUUGCAUUUAUUGCUUCAUAGUCUUCUUCCUACUAUAUUUGUUCACUAGCACUGACACUAGCCAAAUCAACACUGCUCAGUGUGCCUAGUUCCAAACAAGACAUCCUUGUAGUUGUCUGGUCUAUCUUUCCAAGUAGUAGUGUUGGCAAAGAUUUGAUUAAGCCUGUCACACAAUUUCACACAUGUGAGAAAACACACGGAAAAGAGAUCAAAAUCGAGCAAAAAAUGGAAUCUUACACAAUGAUUAGGGGUACUUGUAGAAAACCCUCCUAGGAUUUUGCGUCUAAUUUUGACACAAGAUGAAUCGUUGACCGAAUUCGGCAGCAAUGGCAUGCCACCAACGACAGUCUCCCCGUUGGUUGCGGCAGUGGAAGUGACGCUUGCACAACCUUCUUCCUGGGGCGCUUCCUAGUAGACGAGCCUGAGGCGGCCGACAUGGCGAUGGAGCAACCAUGGCGAGAGAGAGAGAGAGAAGACCUAGGGACCGGGGAAUGAAAAGAAUCAAUGCUACAAAGGGCCGCAUUGCAUAAAUGCCCAAUCGUUAGCCUCGGGAAAUCUCCCGCCUGGGCCCUCCAGACGGCGUGGCUGGGGUCAAAGUGCCACGCAGGCUGGUCAGCGCUGAUGAGAGAGAAUUAGAAUCUGAGAUGGACGACUUAAAAAGAUUUAGGACCCAGACUUGCAUUUUCAAAGUAUUGGGACUCAGUUGGCAAUUCAACGAAAGAAUUAGGACCGCCUAUGCAUUUUACUCUUUAAGUUUUUCUAGACAAAUUUACUCUUUAAGUUUUUUUUUUGAGGCAAUUUUACUCUUUCAGUUAACUUUUUUUUGUGAGAAACUCUUUAAGUUAACUUUUUUGGGCUACCUCUUUAAGUUAAGUUUCUUUAGGGGUAACUUAAUUUAAGUUUUUUUUGAGGGGUAACUCUUUAGGUUAGGUUUUUUUAGAAUCAACUCUUUAAGUUAUUUUUUGUUUUGUUUUGUUUUUGAUAAUCAACUCUUUAAUUUAAGUUAACUCUUUAAUAAGUUCAGUUAAAAGAAAUCUUUAAUAAGUUAAGUUUUUUUUGAUAAUUUAAUACUCCCUCCAUUCCUAAAUAUAAGUGUUUUUAGAGAUUGCACUACGAACUACAUACAGAUGUAUAUAGACAUUUUUUAGAGUGUAGAUUCACUCAUUCUUACUUUGUAUGUAGUCCUAGUGAAAUCUCUUUAAAGACUUAUAUUUAGAAACGGGGUGGUAAGUUAAGUUUUUUAGCAGCAUUUAAUAAGUUAUGUUUUUUUUGAAGAAUUUAGUAAGUUAAGUUUUUCUAGAAGAAUUUAACAAGUUAAGUUUUUUUAGAAGUAGGAAUAUUUUUUUUUUGCGUUCAAGAAGUAGGAGUAUUUAAUAUGUUAAGUAAGUAUAGAGAUAAAGAGGUUGCUUUGCCUUGGCCCAACAAGUGGCACCGGUACCCGCUGAUAAGUCACCUGGGCCUUAGCCCAGCCCAAAGCACUAGCAGCAUAAGAAUCAACAAAGAGGAAAGGGGUCGACAGCGGCGAUGUUAGGAUUUGCUCGGAGGCGGCGGCGAGUAAGGAUUCAUUCAUCAUGGCGUCUGUAGAGCAGUUGGAGUCGGAGGAGGAGGUGGAGGGCUUCGAGCCUUUCUUCUAUGACAGUGAGGAUUGGGAUGCCUGGGCGGAGGAGGAGGCGGAGAGGCGCCGGCGGGAGGAAGAGGAGAAGGCGCGGAGGACGGAGGAGAACCGGCGGAGACGCGAGGCACACGAUGCGGUCAUGGACUCCAUCAUCCAGCACGAUCCCAAGGUGGGGCGCGACGUCUACACCCGAUUCUUUCUCAGAGAUUUCUCCGUCUUUGACAUCAACGAAGAGUGUAAGUGGCCUCUCCGUUUCUGAAGCCGGUGUAGUACUCUUCUCUUUUGGCUUUAUAUUUGUAGAAUUGUCUGAUUGACAGUAUGCAUGGGAACUGAAUUAGUACGUUUCACCUGCAUAAUCCUCUGUUAGGAGAAUCCUCUGACAUGCCAUGUUCAUUAUUGAUGCAUAGCAGUAAACAGCAAAUCUCAGUCCGUUUACUAGAUUGGAUCUAGUUUCAAUUAACAACAGGAACUCACUGAUUUGGCUAAAACUGAAAUUGACUUUCUACAGAUGGUGAGAUGAUAGUUUCCUCUUGAAGUUAACAGCGAAUCUCAUUUCAUUUACUUAGAUUUGAUUCAUAUGUAUAUCACUUAACAACAGAAGUCACUGAUUUUGCUAAAAUUGAAAUUAACUUGGUUCGAAUGGUGAGAUGAUAGCUUUCUCUUGUAGUUAACUCGCAAGUCAAAAUAAGAAUAUUAGAUGGUUUAACUCAGUGGGAUAUAAACGGGAAAAACACAAACUGGGCCUUUUUAUUGUGAUGAAAUAAUCUGACAGAUAUAUUUUGUUUAUUCGUCGCAGCGUCUGUCCCUCCAAUGCGAUACACCGAUAGUAUCUACCAAGAUGAAUUUGGGCUAGAAGACUCUGCAAACAUCCUCUCUGUCAGCAUAGUCUCCUCAGAUGUAGGCUUCCCAGUCAAUGUCUAUGGCCGUGUCAUUGCCAGAGACAGCAUUGACUACAAGUGCAUUUAUCUCUUUCACCGCAAUAGAGAUGAUUGCCAGCAUCUCAACAAGGUACAUCCUUGCUUCUAAGUUUGUUCCAAUCGGGUUUCAUUUUAUUCCAUGGUGCAUUUAAUAUCAACUGUUAAUUGGCAUCUAAAUGGAGUCAUCUUAGUGCUGGUGGUUGUCGAUCCAGACAGUCAUCUGCAUAUAAAUGGAGUAGCUUUUAUGGCAUGCUUCCAAUCUUCAUUUUGAGCAGUGUUUGGAUGAGCAUACUCUAACCUCUCGUGCAAUUCUUUUCAUAGGAUGGAAUGCUGAUUUUAACUGGCCCAUAUCGAGGUCCAGUGCUGGUUGAUUUCAUCUAUCUAGAGAUAGAUCUUAAAAUAAGGGAAGAAGGAGUUCCAGACAGGCCAUUUAGCAAGGGUCUAAUAAGCAUUGAUGGCCGAGUACUGUCUAGAGAGAAAGAUGUCAUGGUUAGAAGUGAAACACUUGAGAGCUGGCUCAGCACUACGGAAGUGAGAUUCACAACUGUCCUGGAUGCAGUCGAGUGCACCUUUGAAAUCAAGCUCAUUGAGGGGCUUUUUAAAGGAAAUAUAACAGUUGGCAUCGUGGAUAAAGCUCGCAAGCUGGACAAUGAACAAACGAUUGUGAUUCAUGAUAGCACAGCAGAUGGCGUGGUUACAAGUGAUGAAAGUGGAGUUAUCAAACUCCGGCGAAGUGUCAUUACUAUCUGUCUGGAAAGAAAUGUAAUGUUUUGCAUAAAUAAUGAGGCUGCUGGUGUUUGUCCUGAACGAACCUUUGAUUUCACUCCACGCCGCACUGGUGUAGAUGAAGAGAAAAUUACGUGUGGUGCUGGGGAGUUCGGAUUCAGGAUUGUCUGGUCCUUGAUGGACUUUAGGCUGUAAUCCUGUCACUUGGUAAACUUAGUUCUGAUGUAAUGAAGUGAUGCAAUGAUGCAGUGAACUAUGUUAAUCGUGAUGUAAUAAUGUGGUGCACUAAGUUAUAUUAUUGUUAUUAAGUAACUUGAUGGAUUAUAAGUAAUGAGUAGCGAACUAAGUUAUUAUAUAGUAUUAUGCUGGCUUGUUAUACCAAAUUUGUUGGCUUAAUUUUUUGGCAUAAUUAAAGAAGAUUAGUGCACUUGGCGUUUUGUUAGACAUGUAUUAGGCGGAAAUGCGAGCAUUUGUCACUGUUAACGGACAUUUCUACCAUAUUUAUCUGUGGUUUGUAUUGAUUGCUCAUGGUCACGUCUGUGUUAUCUAAAUGUCCUGAAAAUUUAAUUAUUUGGAAGAUGGCUUUGCAUUGCAUUUGGUUGCUGUUAUUCUGAACUAACUUCUGAAGCACAACCUGGGUUCAACUUGGAAGGCAGGAGACAUCUUCAUGUUAUCUGAACCACAUGUUUGUUGGGAAGGAGUGUCCUUCACGAGAAAGUGGCUUCAUUUUUUGAUCCAUGUUGCCUGUUCAAGCCAAUACAAAAUUUGCUGGAACAUAAGAAAUUUGGGGAUCUUUACAAAAGAAACGAUCUUCAAGACCCCAUGCCGCCAGAGGUACUUUUUUUUACCCAUGUUCUCUUUUAUAAACUGUGUUUGGUUUUGUGCUUCUGGCAAUGCCUCUACAUAUGCAUAUGUGGAUAUGCUAAUUGACGACAUCUGUGAUGAUUUUCUGCUAAAUCAAGUAUAUUACCUAGGGCACUGGAAAAUGUUGGAAUUGCUGACUUGGCUACAAGGAUUUAGCACAAUGAGAGGUUAAAGGUAUGUUGUAAUAUUUGCCACUUCAAUCUGAACUUCUGAAUGAUUGCCAUCUCUACCUCUAAAAACUGUUGCUUGUAACACUCUUGAUUGUUUGGCUUAACUAGCUGUUUUGAACGCAUUGAUGAGUACCAAGAGGCAUGCUUCUCCUUGCCAUAAUUUAAGAAAUAAUCAACACAUGAUCAAUUUUCUGUGAAUCAUUAUUUAAACAGCACAAAACAAAGGUUCAUGCUGUCUUUUGUUUCUUGCACACCUUGAGGGCUGUUAUGAAACCAGUGGACUGGUAACAAUUGAAGAUGGUAACUUCAAAUAAAAUGGACUGGGAUCACGGAUCUUCUGGGCCAGUAAAUAAAUCGGGAGUUAUAGAACAUCAGAAUUAUAAUACGUUGAGCAUGAACUGAAAACCUGAAAUAGUAUGGAACAGAACAUCACAGCAAAGCUACUGGCUAGAGCUGGGAGAUUGACAUUGAUUAAUGUUUUCCUCACGGCCACUGCAACUUAUUUCCUCACUGUUUUUGCUGCAAGCAAAUGAACAACAAAGAGAAUGGACAAAAUGAGAAGAAAUUUUCUUUCGAACGCGAAUGAGGAGGCUAAGGGAGGAGAUUACAUUAUGUUCCAUUUUUUUUGUUCUUCAAAAGUUGCUGAAUUUAAAUAAAAAACUCUGUACGUGUGUGUUUGAAUAGUGGAGUUCUUUUAUUGGUGGGCUGUACAGCACCUGAAGCAUUUUGUUCAUGCAUGCUGUACCCCUUAAUUUUAGACAUAUUUGAGAUUUUUUGUUGUUGUUAUACAGGUUUUCUAUUAUAAUCCGCCAUGUAAAUUUCAAAACAAAAGAAGUGCAUGCUUCAAGAAGAUUCAAAUCUUCCUACACAAAUGUUGAGUCGCCAAGUGAAAAGCUAAUGGAGGGGUAGGGUCGUAGGAAAGGAGCCGAAACACAAUUGUCUAGCAGUGAACAGCGAAUCUGCAUUUAUUUAUUUGGAUUUGAUUUUGAUUUGGUUCAUAUAUGUAUAUCACUUAACAACAGGAAUCACUGAUUUUGUUAAAACUGAUAAUAACUUGAACAAAUUGUGAGAUGAUAGCUUUCUCUUGAAGUUAACUCAGCAAGUGAAAUAAGAAUAUUAGGUGAUUUAACUCGGUGGGAUAGACAUGGGAAGAACACAAACUGGGGCUGUUUAUUGUGAUGAAAUAAUUUGAUAGAUUUAUUUUCCUUAUGUAUUGCAGCGUCUGUCCCUCCAAUGCAAUACUCUGACAGUAUCUCCGAAGAUGAAUUUGGGCUAGAAGACUCUGCAAACAUCCUCUCUGUCAGCAUAGUCUCCUCAGAUGUAGGCUUCCCAGUCAAUGUCUAUGGCCGUGUCAUUGCCAGAGACAGCAUUGACUACAAGUGCAUUUAUCUCUUUCACCGCAAUAGAGAUGAUUGCCAACGUGUCAACAAGGUACAUCCUUGCUUUUAAGUUCGUUCCAAUCGGAUUUCGUUUUAUUCGACGAUACAUUUAAUGUCAACUGUUAAUACUUAAUGUGCAUCUAAAUGGAGUUGCUUUUAUGGCAUGCUUUCAAUCUUCAUUUUGAGCAGUGUUUGGAUGAGUAUACUCUAAUCUAUCAUGUUAUUCUUUUCAUAGGAUGGAAUGAUGAUUUUCACUGGCCCAAGUCGAGGUCUAGUGCUGGUUUAGAUAUAGAUCUUAAAAUCAGGGAAGAUGGAGUGCUUCCAGAUAGGCCAUUCAGCAAGGGUCUAAUAAGUAUUGAUGGCCGAGUACUGUCUAGAGAGGAAGAUGUGGUGGUUAGAAGUGAAAUUCUUGAAAGCUGGCUCAGCACUAGGAAGUGAGGUUCACAACUGUUCUGAACGCAGUUGACUGCACCAUUGUAAUCAAGCUUCUUGAGGGCCGUUUGAAAGGAAAUAUAAUAGUUGGCAUCUCGGAUAAAGCUCACAAUCUGGACACUGAACAAAUGAUUGUGAUUCAUGAUAGCAAGACAGAUGGCAUGGUGACAGGUGAUCAAAGUGGAGUUAUGAAACUCCGGCGAAGUUUCAUUACUAUCUGUCUAGAAAGAAUGCUGGUGGUUCACAUGAAUAAUAAGGCUGCUGGUGUCUGUGCUGAGCGUACCUUUGAUUUAACUCCACGCCGCAUUGGUUCAGAUAAAGUGGAAAUUAAGUGUGGUGCUGGGAAGUUUGGAUUCAGGAUUGUCUGGUCCUUGAUGGAAUUUAGGCUCUAAUCAUGUGAUUAUGUUCUGAUGUAAUGAAGUGAUGCAAUGAUGUAGUGAACAAAGUUAUAUCACGAGUCAGUGAUGUAAUGGAUCAUGUAAUUAUGUAGUGGUAUAUCGUUAUUUAAGUGAUGUAAUGGAUUAAUAACUGAUGAUGCAGUGAACUAAGUUAUUAUGUAUUAUGGUGUAGUAUUAUAUCGAGUUUGUUGUUUCUACUUUUUGGUAUAACUGAAGCAGAUUAGUGCACUUGUGUUUUGUUAGACAUGCAUUAGGCUGAAAUAUAAACGUCCCGUGUUAUCUAAAUUCCUGGAAAUUUGAAUAUUUAGAUGGUGGAUAUGCAUUGCAUUUGGUUGCUAUUAUUCUGGGCUAAUUUGUGAAGCCUAACCUGGGUUCCCAGUUCUGAACCAUCAAAUCCAUCAACUUCCACUAGCGCCUGUACUUGGUCUUGUGCAGUGCUGCAUGUUGGGAAGGAGAAUUUAUUUUCAUAAUAUCCAUGUUGCCUGUUCAAGUCAAUACAGAAAUUGGCUCGUACAUAAGAAAUUUAAAUCUUCUUUAAAAAUUAUCUAUAAGGCACCAUGACGCAAGAGGUACUUUUUCUACCCAUCUUCUCUUUUCUGAACUGUGGUAAUUUUAUUGAUCUAUAUGCUACUGCAGUGAAGUCAGUGGUGAUGAGAUGUGCAUCGGACAAUGUUGGAAUCUCUGGCUCGGCUACACGGAUUUAGCAUGAUGAGAGGAUAAAGGUUGGUAUGUCCUAAGAUUUGCUACUUCAAUCUGAACUUGUGAAUGAUUGCCAUCUCUACCUGCAAAAACCGUUGGUUGUAACACUCCUGAUGAUGUGGCCUAACCAGCUGUUUUGAACGCAUUGAUAUAUGAUGAAAUUAUGUUUUAACUUCAAAAUGAGCACCAAGAGGUUUAUCAAUUUUCUGGAUCAUAAUUGAAGAAAAUGAGCACCAAGAACUUCUCCUGACCAUAAUUCAAGAAAUGAUCAGUACUUGAUUUAUUUUCUGUGAAUCACUAUUUAAACAGCACAGGACAGUCAGAACUGAUGGAAGCUGACACGCUUACUACACAGAGAGGUCAUGUAUAUGUUCAUGCUGUAUUUUGUUCAGAUGCUCUACUCUACACCUUGAGGGCUGUUAUGAAACCAGUGGUAACAACUGAAGAUGGUAACUACAAAUAAAUUGGACUGGUAUCAGGGAUCUUGAGGGUCAGUAAACAAAAUCUAGAGUUAUAGAUAAUCGAAACUAUAGUCACUGAACAUGAACUGAAAACGUGAAAUAGUAUAGAGCAGAGCAUCAUAAUGUGUUUUCUUAGUUUUCAUAUACCGAUUUGAUGCUUCAGAGCAAACAUUGAUGCUUAGCAUUGUCAAUGACAUGGGCGGAUCUAGUGUGGGGGUUAUGAGGGCCAUGGCCCCCACAAACAUUUUGCAAAAAGUUUUUUACUAGUGCAUGCAUAUGCAUAUAUCCAUUAUAUUAAUUUUUGGUGUAGCCUAAAUACUCCAGAACUUCAAUCCUCCGUAAUGUUGCCCCCACAUUGGUCGAAUUCUAGAUCCGCCACUGUUCAAUGACCCUAAAUCUGAAACUUAUUUGCUUGUGAGACAUGUUCAACUGAAUUUGGAAGCAUCUGAACCCACCUUUACUCGUGCAGGUGAUCAAUGAAGGUUUCAGUGAAGGAAUCAUCCAAGCGCAAGCAGAGAAGUUCACCAUUAAUGAUGAUGCUAAUUUUCCUAAACAGUCAAUACAUUGUUCUUAUAUUGACUGGCUUCCGCUUCGAGUCCCAACAUGACAAAUGAAGCUUGAGCAUCGUCUAACUAUACAAAGUUGAAAGGAUCAGGCAUCAGUGGGCCCCAACCCGGUCCUAUAUCUUGUAUGGAGCUUGAGGGAAAGGCUGAGUGGCUGACCAGUGUUACAUGGUGCUUCUGGGCUUUGCAUUUUUAUGUUUACAUGCUAGUUUAUGUUGCAGUAGCAUGAUGUCAACUUUUUCUGUAUCUUGCUAGGCAUUAUAUACAAGUUUUACGGCCAUUUGUACUUUGAUGCAUUUGCGGUAUAUUAAACAGUCUCCUGUUCCUGCUAUUUGCUACUCAUUUGUAGUAAAUUUAAAUCAGAAUAUUGUGGUUAAGUGUACAACACAUGGUUGUAAUGUGUGAUGUAAAAAGAUGUAACAACCGAGAAGCAACAUGUUUUAUUAGGAAUUGAUUUUGCAUCAUAAUCAUUUCAUCAGAAUUUAAUUUAAUUUGAAAUGAGGAUUUAUUCAACCCUCAUAAUUUUUCCUUAAGGGCUAAAAUCCAAGACAUUCUUCAAUAAAACAAAAUGUCCUUCUCAACCUUAAUAUGAUUCCAAAAUUGUUGAAUAUUUUGUUGUGCCUUUUUUUUAGGGAUUGUUGUGCCUUCGUGUUGAAAAGGGUGCUCAACUGACAAGCACUGUUAUGAGUUUCAUUAUUUGUAGAAUUACGAGUAUUAUUAGAGAGAGAGAGAGAGAGAGAGAGAGAGAGAGAGAGAGAGAGAGAGAGGUAGGUUUGUGCACCACCGUCGAUAUGAUGACUCUGCUAGAGUUGCUCUAAGAGUGAUGAGGAGGACCACCAUAGUUCAAGAAAAUGAAAAUAUGAUUCCAAAAUUGUUGAAUAUUUUGUUGUGCCUUUGUGUUGAAAUGGGUGCUCAACUGACAAUCUCUCUUAUGAGUUUCAUUAUCUUUAGAAUUACAAAUAUUAUUAGAGAGAGGGAGAGAGAGAGAGAGAUAGGUUUGUGAUAUGAUGACUCUGCUAGAGUUGCUCUAAGAGUGAUGAGGAUGACCACCAUAGUUCAAGAAAAUGAAAAUAAGCAAUGAAAGAGCCAAACAAUUUUUUUUUUCUGCUAAAGGGUGGAUUUUAUUAACUCAAAAUGAAGUAUGAAGUGAAUACAAACACAAUGAGCCCACACCCGGCCUCUGCAUAGCUAGAAUGCAUACAACCAACACCAAUGCACACAAACGAAAAUCACACCGGCAACUAGCAAAGUCAAACAUGACCGAAGCUAUGCCUUAGUGGACUAAAAAGAAAAGAAAAAAAAACUCCGAAGCGAUCAAAUCAGUGAUCAACUAUCUACAAUAGCAACCAUAUCUGCACCAAUCAUUUUUUGACAUCAGCAAUGAUGUCGCCACCACUUUCCGCGAUCCCAACAACUACAUACCUAUUUAGGAGCGAUCCAUCCUAUCCUUUGCCCACAGCGAAACAUAGAAAUGAUCUUAAAUAAAGACCACUCGGCCUUAGUCCAGCCCAAAGCAGCAACAAUAUAAGAAGGAAAAAAACAACAAAGAGGAAAGGCAUCGGGCAGGCGAGGCCUCAACGGCGACUUGGGUGACUCGUGGCGACGGUGGCUUGGGAUUCAUGGCGCAAAACAGUGUGAAUAUCCUUUUUUUUGCGCAUAACGAAACUUUCAUUACUUAACUAGAGUCAUUACAAUCCUGUUGACAUAAGAUGUCAACCUCAUCAGGGGCACAAUGAAGCCAAACAGCAGUUUUGGGCAGUAAACGGCCCAUUUGUGCGAGAGCGUGGCUAGCUUUAUUCUGCUCUCGUUUAAUCACCCAGUGUGAAUAUCAAUUAUUGUAAUGGCCAAAACAGUGUGGAUACCAUCUUACAUAAUGAUUGGGGAGGUCAUGUUUAAGCAUUGCUACUAUUUUUGUAAUCAAGUGGCUCAAGUGCUAGCUAAUUUUUAUUACUAUAAUAAAUCUUCUUUUAGUUGACUGGACAAGCCUUCUGACUACAGUAAGGUCGUAAACGAUGUAAACUUAUUUUAAUUUCAAUAAAGCUAGCCAUAAUGAGCAUCUCAUAGGAAAGAAAGUGUGACGCCCCCGAUUCAAUCGUACACUAAUCAUGCACGCAAAUGUGUACGAUCAAGAUCAGGGACUCACGGGAAGAUAUCACAACACAACUCUACAAAUAAAAUAAGUCAUACAAGCAUCAUAAUACAAGCCAGGAGCCUCGAGGGCUCGAAUACAAGUGCUCGAUCAUAGACGAGUCAGCGGAAGCAACAAUAUCUGAGUACAAACAUAAGUUAAACAAGUUUGCCUUAAGAAGGCUAGCACAAACUGGAAUACAGAUCGAAAGAGGCGCAGGCCUCCUGCCUGGGAUCCUCCUAAACUACUCCAGGUCGUCAUCAGCGGGCAACACGUAGUAGUAGGCACCUCCAGUGUAGUAGGGGUCGUCGUCGACGGUGGCGUCUGGCUCCUGGACUCCAGCAUCUGGUUGCGACAACCAGAAAGGAAGGGAAAGGGAAAAAAAGGGGGGAGAAAGCAACCGUGAGUACUCAUCCAAAGUACUCGCAAGCAAGGAACUACACUACAUAUGCAUGGGUAUAUGUGUAAGGAGGCCAUAUCAGUGGACUGAACUGCAGAAUGCCAGAAUAAGAGGGGGAUAGCUAAUCCUGUCGAAGACUACGCUUCUGGCAGCCUCCGCCUUACAGCAUGUAGAAGAGGGUAGAUUGAAGUCCUCCAAGUAGCAUCUUCAAGUAGCAUCUCCAAGUAACAUCUCCAAGUAGCAUCGCAUAGCAUAAUCCUACCCGGCAAUCCUCUCCUCGUCGCCCUGCGGAAAAGCGAUCACCGGGUUGUCUGUGGAACUUGGAAGGGUGUGUUUUAUUAAGUAUCCGGUUCUAGUUGUCAUAAGGUCAAGGUACAACUCCAAGUCGUCCUGUUACCGAAGAUCACGGCUAUUCGAAUAGAUUAACUUCCCUGCAGGGGUGCACCAACUUACCCAACACGCUUGAUCCCAUUUGGCCGGACACACUUUCCUGGGUCAUGCCCGGCCGCGGAAGAUCAACACGUCGCAGCCCCACCUAGGCAAAACAGAGAGGCCAGCACGCCAGUCUAAACCUAAGCGCACAGGGGUCUGGGCCCAUCGCCCAUAGCACACCUGCACGUUGCGUACGCGGCCGAAAGCAGACCUAGCCUAGUGGCGUUCCAGUCCAAUUCGGCGCGCGCCGCUCCGUCGCUGACGUCUGAAGUGCUUCGGCUGAUACCACGACGUCGGGAUACCCAUAACUACUCCCACGUAGAUGGUUAGUGCGUAUAGGCUCAUAGCCGACUCAGAUCAAAUACCAAGAUCUCGUUAAGCGUGUUAAGUAUCCGCGAACGCCGAACAGGGCCAGGCCCACCUGUCUCCUAGGUGGUCUCAACCUGCCCUGUCGCUCCGCCACAAAGUAACAGUCGGGGGCCGUCGGGAACCCAGGCCCACCUCUACCGGGAUGGAGCCACCUGUCCUUUCAGCCCCCUCAUCAGAAUCACUUGCGGGUACUCAUCGAGCUGACCCGACUUUAGUCACCAUCUGUAUAGUAUGUAUGUAUGUAUAGUAUAUACCCGUGAUCACCUCCCGAGUGAUCACGGCCCAAUAGUAUAGCGAGGCAGACUAACAAGAAUGUAGGGCCAAUGAUGAUAAACUAGCAUCCUAUACUAAGCAUUUAGGAUUGCAGGUAAGGUAUCAACAGAUGUAGCGACAAUGUCAGGCUAUGCAUCAGAAUAGGAUUAACGAAAGCAGUAACAUGCUACACUACUCUAAUGCAAGCAGUAUAGAGGAGAAUAGGCGAUAUCUGGUGAUCAAGGGGGGGGCUUGCCUGGUUGCUCUGGCAAGAGAGAGGGGUCGUCAACUCCAUAGUCGAACUGGGCAGCAGCAGCGUUGGUCUCGUAGUCUACCGAAGAGAAGAGGGGGAAGAAACAAUAAAUACAAUGCAAACAUAAGCAAGGCGACGCAAGACAUGACAAAGAGCGGUGCUAGGUGUGUUCUAACGCAGUAUGGGGUGAUGCUGGCGAAGGGGGAAAUCGUCCGGGAAAGUAUUCCCGGUGUUCCGUGUUUUCGGGCAGAGGAGCCGGAGGGGGAAAGUUGCGAGUUUGAUAUGUUAGGGGUGUGUGGCGGACGAACGGGUUGCGUAUCCGGAUUCGUCUCGUCGUUUUGAGCAACUUUCAUGUUGAAAAUAUUUUAAUCCGAGUUACGGAUUAAAAGAUAUGAUUUUCUAAAGAUUUUAUUAAUUUCUGGAAUUUAAUUAAUUAUUUAAUCCAACAUUAUCCAGAAUAGUAAAUGAUGACAUCAGCAUGACAUCAGAGUGAUGUCAGCAGUCAACAGGGGUUGACUGAGUCAACCCUGACAUGUGGGUCGCGUUCGUCAUACUCUAUUAACUUAAUUAGCCUAAUCAAAGUUAAUUAACCUUAGUUAAUUAGGUUAAUUAGUGGUUAGGGUUAAUUAAACAGAAUUAAUUAGAUUAAUUAAAUACUUAAUUAAUUAAUUAAUUAACUAAUUAGUUAAUUAGUUUUAAUUCAUUUUCAUUUUAUUUUUAUUUUUGUUUUAAUAAAAACCGUUCUUUUUAGGGGGGUGGGGCCCCCAUGUCAUUGGCCCAGGGCCAAACGGGUGCGGGUCCAAUGGGCAGGCGGGCGACGGGCGCCCGUAGCCUGCCCGGGGCGGGGCGUGGCCGUGGCCACGGCGGGGUUGCCGCAGCAGGGCACCAGGAGCACCGGGGAGGCGUGGCCGUGGGCGCGGCGAGGGCGGUCGGCGCAGGCCACCGGGGCACAGUGGGGCGCCGGCCAACGGUCGCCGGCGCAAGGUCGAGGCAAGGCACGACCAAGAGGGAACGGGGCCGCAACCGGGGCUAGCGGCGCCCAAGACNNNNNNNNNNNNNNNNNNNNNNNNNNNNNNNNNNNNNNNNNNNNNNNNNNNNNNNNNNNNNNNNNNNNNNNNNNNNNNNNNNNNNNNNNNNNNNNNNNNNNNNNNNNNNNNNNNNNNNNNNNNNNNNNNNNNNNNNNNNNNNNNNNNNNNNNNNNNNNNNNNNNNNNNNNNNNNNNNNNNNNNNNNNNNNNNNNNNNNNNNNNNNNNNNNNNNNNNNNNNNNNNNNNNNNNNNNNNNNNNNNNNNNNNNNNNNNNNNNNNNNNNNNNNNNNNNNNNNNNNNNNNNNNNNNNNNNNNNNNNNNNNNNNNNNNNNNNNNNNNNNNNNNNNNNNNNNNNNNNNNNNNNNNNNNNNNNNNNNNNNNNNNNNNNNNNNNNNNNNNNNNNNNNNNNNNNNNNNNNNNNNNNNNNNNNNNNNNNNNNNNNNNNNNNNNNNNGGGGGGGAGGGGCCAAGUGGGGAGGGGGAAUGGGCCAGGGGGAAUGGGCCAGGGGUUUUCCCUUCCCCCCUUUUUUUGUCUUUCCUUUUUCUUUUAUUAUUUCUCUUUUCUGUUUUUAGUUUACUUAAAAUGCCAAAGCAUUUUACCAAAAUUAGUGCACCCCACCAUAAUUAGGUUAGCUAUUUUAGACAACCCCCGAACAUUUUUAGUCUUUGUUUUGAAACCUUUUAUCUUUGCUUUUGUUUUGAUUUUGAAUUCGAACCGGUUUCGAACUAACGCGAGUUUAUCCACAGUAACCGAGGUGACGUGGCAACAUUAGUGGGGAUUACUGUAGCAUAAUUACCCGGGCGUCACAAUUCUCCUCCACUACAAGAAAUCUCGUCCCGAGAUUUAAGCGGUGGAGUAAGGGGCGAAGGUGUUGGUAGCGAAAAACCUAACGAGUCUUCUCGGUCUUGGCUUCCCUUUCGAAGAGGUUGAUCCCUUUCGUUGAUGUCUUCAUUUCACUGCUUCAAGUCACCAUGAUCAAUUUGUCAUCCUUUCUUCGGGAUCUCCAUCGUACUUACGAAUAGGUAAGGAGCAGCUCUACAACGAUAGGAUGUUACAAGGGAAAAUCUUCUGGGGGUUUCCCAAGUAUGAACAUAUGAGUAUCUCUCGAGUUGAACAAAUGAAACACAUCGAGAGCAAAGUAAGACGGUGCAAUAAGAAGUUUCAAGCGGAUAGGCAAUCGUUCAUUGCCUGAAACAGAGUGUGAAUGGGGUUCAGAGCAACAGGAAUAAGUAUUGUGUCCGAUACCAGAAUUGAUCACUAGGAAGGUGGCUCGCGAAUCACAUACGAAGUCAAGCUAUAGGAAUAACUUUGGCAACAGGGUGUAUAGGAGAGUCAGGUUUCGAUCCUGUGAAACUGUGGGUUAUGGGCCCACCAUGUGGUUCUUUUUUUUAAUAGGAGCAGUGACAUCUUGCACGGUCAUGAUAGCAAGGCAUGUCAGGGAGUACCAUGUCAGCUAUGUCGGCAACAACGUUGGUACCAAGGGCGAGGGACGAAGAGAACCAUUUUCCUGCUCGUUGAAACGAGGCGGACCAAUAGGCAAGGUUCCCGUCCAUCGGCGGUUACCGGAAUGUCAUCAACAAUAGUAACAAGGUCUUGCUGACCGAGUGGUACAUCGAGGUGUUUGCACAAGUAGUGGAUUAUUACUGCUUAUAUCAUAUAGAUCAUCGAAAAGGUUUAAACAAACCAAUGGAAGGAAAAUAUGAUCAUCAGAUUAAACAGAACAAUGGAAAGGAAAAUAUGUUUAAACACAGAUUUCGAGGGUAUAUCCUUCCCAAGGACAAGAAGAGCAAGAUAUCCAUGACAGGAUAUAAAGUAGAAAACCAUUUAGGUAAGGGGGGGAGGAAUAUCAUGAUAUUACUCAUACAACGGUGUUAGGAUAAUUGAUAAUUAAAAUAUAGCAUCGUGCUUCAAACGUGCCUGUUGAAAAUCGGAGUACCAUUGACAUGCUUCGAGAUAGCAGUGACAUGGUCUUCAGGUGAAGAUCAGACUUUGGAAACACGAAGGAUCCAUCAAGAAUAACUUGUAGAAUAAGUCUUACAAUUUCCUCAUGGAUGAAUGGAUAACCUUGCUGAAAAGGAAUCUAUAAUGAUAGGUCCUCCAGCCGNNNNNNNNNNGGAGUACCAUUGACAUGCUUCGAGAUAGCAGUGACAUGGUCUUCAGGUGAAGAUCAGACUUUGGAAACACGAAGGAUCCAUCAAGAAUAACUUGUAGAAUAAGUCUUACAAUUUCCUCAUGGAUGAAUGGAUAACCUUGCUGAAAAGGAAUCUAUAAUGAUAGGUCCUCCAGCCCGGGGGGGGGGGGUGCUAGGCAUGACAUCAUGUUACCGGGUCAUCAAAGGAUCAACGUCAUAACUCUUGGAAAGUUGUCCCAACCAUCAUAUCUGACCGAGAUUCAGAUCCGAUUGGUGUCAGGAUACCUGAGAUUCAGGAUGUCUGAGAAGAAAAGGUGCAACACAAAUCGUUGAAAUGGCAUUGCAAGCUUCUCGGGAAAUGAACUAUGGGAGCGGGUUUCUGAAGCAAUAGUUCACCAUUACACCAAGGAGAGGACAAGGAGGUGUCUGGUGAACUCAACGGCAAUUCACCGAGAUUCCCAAAAGAUGGAUUUCCACCAUUAAGUGAACAAUGGGAUAACAUUUGUUAGAUCAAAUGAUAUAAGGAAGUAUGCUCGAGGAAAACAUACACAAUUAAACACUGGUUGAAGGGUGCGCCCGAAGUACGGGUUAGGUUGCACGACCAAUGUUAGAAUGGUGAUUCAAUUAGCGAAGGACUUAGAAUGAACUAUCGCCCAUUCACUUCAAAGCAAUAGGGUUGCUAGAAGUUUUGAAUUCACACGUCAUAGCUCCAUUGUCGGUAUUCCGGUUGAAAACAAUACGGGGACCAAGGAAUGAACGAAGAUGGCAAGAAGUAUUAAGAUAUCAAGAAUUAUUAAGAGGUGGUGAAAUUCUCACCACAUUCUUGACAAAAAGUGAUGGUAAUACUUCCGAGGUAAGGAAGAUCAACUGCUAGGUAGCAGUGACCUCAAGGUUUACACAAAACGCGAACAAGUUGUGUUGAACGGAAGGCAAUAAAGUGGUCGAUGAGAACAGGAAUCAUCGAGGGGCAAGGAUGGUAUUACCCAUCAUGAAUUCAAUUGAAUUCCUGGAAGAGCUCAUAAGGUUGAUGAUGAUCACGACACAAUUGUCGAGAGAUUUCAUGCAGAUGUAGUCAAUCAGCGACGACAUCAAGUCAAAGGAAUGAUGAAGCAAGAGGUUAUUGGAACCACAGUUACGACACAAACUCGAACUCAAGCUUGUUGUUUAAGGUGAAAGGGUAUGACGAGGAAAAAUCGACGUAAGGUUAGUUCAUCGUCGAAAAUUGGUGCUCCGAGAAUAAGGACCAGGUAGCACCGUUAGAAUCGUCACGACAAUGAUAUAGCCAAACAGGCUAGGAAUGGCGUGAUCGGGUACAAACUCGUACUUAUAGAAGCUUACUGAAGAGUUGUUGAACCGUAGAGCGGGCUCGGUUCAGUUAUCGGUGUCUUUGAGUGUUCAAUAACUCAGAGCCCGCGAAAAAUUGGAAUCAGUGGGAAGGUAGCACUUGAUGAAGAACUCAUAAAAAGUUAUGCAGUUCCAUGAUAAUCUCGAGAUACCAGGGGGUAAUACUCGACACAAGAUCAAAGUAAAGGUUGGACUGGUGUAUUGAUCCAUAGAAGACAAUUGUUUUAACUUGUCCGAGAAAUGAGAUCAAAGAAGAACAAUCAUGGUCGGAACCACGGUUGCAAAAGGCCAGAUCCUAGAUAUAGGAUGAACUUAUACCAAAGGAAUAAUUUAUUUAAGAGAAGCUUUAAUGAUAAGAUCUACAUCGUGUCCAUGGGCAUGAACACAAGUUCAAGGUCGACUCCCACUUCUCCAAUGCAUAACCUUUCAUUCACUUCUCACGUUCGAUGAAGUUGCAGUGUUGAAAUUUUAUCUGGUGAAGCACCAGAAGAGUAUGACUCGUGAAAACUUUCGGGUUCACACGGUUUAGAGAAGGCAUAUGUUCAAUCCAUAGGGGCUUCUUAGAAACAUAUACCACAAGUUUCAAGAGUAAAUAACACAAGCCCGAAAGCAGAGCAUGGUUGGCCAAGCAGAGGAUACAACUUAACAAAGGCAUUAUGUAUCAGGGGAAGAACUCACAAGGUGAUCAAAUGUGAAGGACACUGUCGGAUAACAAUCCAAGAAAGGACUUGAUGGUCCACAAAGGAUCUGAUACGAGUAUCGGUACACAACUAGAGGAAGAAGAAUGCAAGGAGAUCAGAUUAUAGAAACAACUGACUAACUCAAUUGUCAAAUGCAAAGGAAUUAUGAUUUCCAAAUCAAGGGAUCAGAAGCAAUGCUCUGAUUAGGGGUGGAUAAGUUGAAUAGCCUUAGGGUACAAUCAAAGACAAUUGGAUUGGUCGAGAACCAGUUCCAGUUAAAAGAAUGGCAGCUUAGCCGGAAAAGUAAUUUAUAAGGAUCAAUGAUGAUUGCGUGUAUUCGCAAACAUAUUGAGUCAACAGACUCAAAAUGAUAAUGACAAGGAAUGUCAUUAAGACUACGAGACUUAUGGGAUUAACCAUAAUGCAAGCAAGCAAGAAUUUCAAGAGCCAAAGGCUCCAGAGGAUUUUCGGAAGAUCGAAUAUUAUUUUAAAGACUUUUGUGAAACACAUGAACAACUGGGGAUGAGCGGAUACUCAAUAAGUGCGAGAAUUAUCCAUAGGGGUAUUCAGGUGACAAAGAACAGCAAGGCGAUAAGCUCAAAGGAUUAUCGAAACAACGACGAGUGUUUCGAGGUAUCUGGUAAUAACAAGACCAACUGGGGAUGAAUGUACGAAUAACAACUGCAAGUAGUUAUCCACUAGGGUUGACGGUGGAAGGGGAAUUGCAAAUGCGAUGAACAUAAGUUCUCGGGUUAACAGCGAAGAGUAUCUUCAGGGUCUUCACGUGCCGCAGACGAUCAUCAUUAAUAAGGGGCUCUCCGGGUGAAAGUAUUUUCGAGAACCUAAAGUCAGAUUUUAGUAAAAAUCGUUUAACCCGAAUAGAAGAGAUGUCAGAGUCCCAGAGCAUAGGUCGAGGAAUAAAAGAUCCUACUACCACCCAAUGGCGACGUGGGCCCGUAAGGCACACAGCCAAGUUAGUAAAAGUUUUGCAAUGACUAGACUCAACUUCGGCCAAGGAGUUGGAAAGGGGGAUUCCUACAGGCAGUCGGCUCUGAUACCAACUUGUGACGCCCCCGAUUCAAUCGUACACUAAUCAUGCACGCAAAUGUGUACGAUCAAGACCAGAGACUCACGGGAAGAUAUCACAACACAACUCUACAAAUAAAAUAAGUCAUACAAGCAUCAUAAUACAAGCCAGGGGCCUCGAGGGCUCGAAUACAAGUGCUCGAUCAUAGACGAGUCAGCGGAAGCAACAAUAUCUGAGUACAGACAUAAGUUAAACAAGUUUGCCUUAAGAAGGCUAGCACAAACUGGGAUACAGAUCGAAAGAGGCGCAGGCCUCCUGCCUGGGAUCCUCCUAAACUACUCCAGGUCGUCAUCAGCGGGCAGCACGUAGUAGUAGGCACCUCCAGUGUAGUAGGGGUCGUCGUCGACGGUGGCGUCUGGCUCCUGGACUCCAGCAUCUGGUUGCGACAACCAGAAAGGAAGGAAAAGGGAAAAAAAAGGGGGGAGAAAGCAACCGUGAGUACUCAUCCAAAGUACUCGCAAGCAAGGAACUACACUACAUAUGCAUGGGUAUAUGUGUAAGGAGGCCAUAUCAGUGGACUGAACUGCAGAAUGCCAGAAUAAGAGGGGGAUAGCUAAUCCUGUCGAAGACUACGCUUCUGGCAGCCUCCGCCUUACAGCAUGUAGAAGAGGGUAGAUUGAAGUCCUCCAAGUAGCAUCUUCAAGUAGCAUCUCCAAGUAACAUCUCCAAGUAGCAUCGCAUAGCAUAAUCCUACCCGGCAAUCCUCUCCUCGUCGCCCUGCGGAAAAGCGAUCAUCGGGUUGUCUGUGGAACUUGGAAGGGUGUGUUUUAUUAAGUAUCCGGUUCUAGUUGUCAUAAGGUCAAGGUACAACUCCAAGUCGUCCUGUUACCGAAGAUCACGGCUAUUCGAAUAGAUUAACUUCCCUGCAGGGGUGCACCAACUUACCCAACACGCUUGAUCCCAUUUGGCCGGACACACUUUCCUGGGUCAUGCCCGGCCGUGGAAGAUCAACACGUCGCAACCCCACCUAGGCAAAACAGAGAGGCCAGCACGCCGGUCUAAACCUAAGCGCACAGGGGUCUGGGCCCAUCGCCCAUAGCACACCUGCACGUUGCGUACGCGGCCGAAAGCAGACCUAGCCUAGUGGCGUUCCAGUCCAAUUCGGCGCGCGCCGCUCCGUCGCUGACGUCUGAAGUGCUUCGGCUGAUACCACGACGUCGGGAUACCCAUAACUACUCCCACGUAGAUGGUUAGUGCGUAUAGGCUCAUAGCCGACUCAGAUCAAAUACCAAGAUCUCGUUAAGCGUGUUAAGUAUCCGCGAACGCCGAACAGGGCCAGGCCCACCUGUCUCCUAGGUGGUCUCAACCUGCCCUGUCGCUCCGCCACAAAGUAACAGUCGGGGGCCGUCGGGAACCCAGGCCCACCUCUACCGGGAUGGAGCCACCUGUCCUUUCAGCCCCCUCAUCAGAAUCACUUGCGGGUACUCAUCGAGCUGACCCGACUUUAGUCACCAUCUGUAUAGUAUGUAUGUAUGUAUAGUAUAUACCCAUGAUCACCUCCCGAGUGAUCACGACCCAAUAGUAUAGCGAGGCAGACUAACAAGAAUGUAGGGCCAAUGAUGAUAAACUAGCAUCCUAUACUAAGCAUUUAGGAUUGCAGGUAAGGUAUCAACAGAUGUAGCGACAAUGUCAGGCUAUGCAUCAGAAUAGGAUUAACGAAAGCAGUAACAUGCUACACUACUCUAAUGCAAGCAGUAUAGAGGAGAAUAGGCGAUAUCUGGUGAUCAAGGGGGGGGGGCUUGCCUGGUUGCUCUGGCAAGAGAGAGGGGUCGUCAACUUCGUAGUCGAACUGGGCAGCAACAGCGUCGGUCUCGUAGUCUACCGAAGAGAAGAGGGGGAAGAAACAAUAAAUACAGUGCAAACAUAAGCAAGGCGACGCAAGACAUGACAAAGAGCGGUGCUAGGUGUGUUCUAACGCAGUAUGGGGUGAUGCUGGCGAAGGGGGAAAUCGUCCGGGAAAGUAUUCCCGGUGUUCCGUGUUUUCGGGCAGAGGAGCCGGAGGGGGAAAGUUGCGAGUUUGAUAUGUUAGGGGUGUGUGGCGGACGAACGGGUUGCGUAUCCGGAUUCGUCUCGUCGUUCUGAGCAACUUUCAUGUUGAAAAUAUUUUAAUCCGAGUUACGGAUUCAAAGAUAUGAUUUUCUAAAGAUUUUAUUAAUUUCUGGAAUUUAAUUAAUUAUUUAAUCCAACAUUAUCCAGAAUAGUAAAUGAUGACGUCAGCAUGACAUCAGAGUGAUGUCAGCAGUCAACAGGGGUUGACUGAGUCAACCCUGACAUGUGGGUCCCGUUCGUCAUACUCUAUUAACUUAAUUAGCCUAAUCAAAGUUAAUUAACCUUAGUUAAUUAGGUUAAUUAGUGGUUAGGGUUAAUUAAACAGAAUUAAUUAGAUUAAUUAAAUACUUAAUUAAUUAAUUAAUUAAUUAACUAAUUAGUUAAUUAGUUUUAAUUCAUUUUCAUUUUAUUUUUAUUUUUGUUUUAAUAAAAACCGUUCUUUUUAGGGGGGUGGGGCCCCCAUGUCAUUGGCCCAGGGCCAAACGGGUGCGGGUCCAAUGGGCAGGCGGGCGACGGGCGCCCGUAGCCUGCCCGGGGCGGGGCGUGGCCGUGGCCACGGCGGGGUUGCCGCAGCGGGGCACCAGGAGCACCGGGGAGGCGUGGUCGUGGGCGCGGCGAGGGCGGUCGGCGCAGGNNNNNNNNNNNNNNNNNNNNNNNNNNNNNNNNNNNNNNNNNNNNNNNNNNNNNNNNNNNNNNNNNNNNNNNNNNNNNNNNNNNNNNNNNNNNNNNNNNNNNNNNNNNNNNNNNNNNNNNNNNNNNNNNNNNNNNNNNNNNNNNNNNNNNNNNNNNNNNNNNNNNNNNNNNNNNNNNNNNNNNNNNNNNNNNNNNNNNNNNNNNNNNNNNNNNNNNNNNNNNNNNNNNNNNNNNNNNNNNNNNNNNNNNNNNNNNNNNNNNNNNNNNNNNNNNNNNNNNNNNNNNNNNNNNNNNNNNNNNNNNNNNNNNNNNNNNNNNNNNNNNNNNNNNNNNNNNNNNNNNNNNNNNNNNNNNNNNNNNNNNNNNNNNNNNNNNNNNNNNNNNNNNNNNNNNNNNNNNNNNNNNNNNNNNNNNNNNNNNNNNNNNNNNNNNNNNNNNNNNNNNNNNNNNNNNNNNNNNNNNNNNNNNNNNNNNNNNNNNNNNNNNNNNNNNNNNNNNNNNNNNNNNNNNNNNNNNNNNNNNNNNNNNNNNNNNNNNNNNNNNNNNNNNNNNNNNNNNNNNNNNNNNNNNNNNNNNNNNNNNNNNNNNNNNNNNNNNNNNNNNNNNNNNNNNNNNNNNNNNNNNNNNNNNNNNNNNNNNNNNNNNNNNNNNNNNNNNNNNNNNNNNNNNNNNNNNNNNNNNNNNNNNNNNNNNNNNNNNNNNNNNNNNNNNNNNNNNNNNNNNNNNNNNNNNNNNNNNNNNNNNNNNNNNNNNNNNNNNNNNNNNNNNNNNNNNNNNNNNNNNNNNNNNNNNNNNNNNNNNNNNNNNNNNNNNNNNNNNNNNNNNNNNGGGGGGGAGGGGCCAAGUGGGGAGGGGGAAUGGGCCAGGGGGAAUGGGCCAGGGGUUUUCCCUUCCCCCCUUUUUUUGUCUUUCCUUUUUCUUUUAUUAUUUCUCUUUUCUGUUUUUAGUUUACUUAAAAUGCCAAAGCAUUUUACCAAAAUUAGUGCACCCCACCAUAAUUAGGUUAGCUAUUUUAGACAACCCCCGAACAUUUUUAGUCUUUGUUUUGAAACCUUUUAUCUUUGCUUUUGUUUUGAUUUUGAAUUCGAACCGGUUUCGAACUAACGCGAGUUUAUCCACAGUAACCGAGGUGACGUGGCAACAUUAGUGGGGAUUACUGUAGCAUAAUUACCCGGGCGUCACAGAAAGUGACCUACAAGAAAAAACGUGCUAACACCUUUUAGGGCCUGUUUGAUUCCAAUAAGUCACAUGACUCAUAAGUCAGGUGACUUAAAACCAAUGACUUAUAAGUCACGCCUGAUUGGUUGUCACGCGACUUAUAAGUCACCUGACCACACCUUUCCAUCUUGUUUUUUUAUAUAAAGAUGGUGGGACCCAUGCAAAAAGGGGUGACUUGUAAGUUUUAAGUUUGGAUGGAGCAACUUAUGACUUAUAAGUUGGGAUGACUUAUAAGUUGGAUCUGUUUGGCAAAAUAAGUCAUUUUUUUCACUUUUCGACUUAUAAGUUGGUGACUUAUUUGGAACCAAACAGGCCCUUAACUUAGACGUUGGCGCGAACCAACCUCUAGUUGGAUGAUUAGAGAGACUGUGAUAUCCCCAGCCCAGUAGGGUUCAAGUCUUGGUACUUGCGUCUGUAUUAUGUUAAAAAAAACUUGGGCCUUACCCUUCCAAAUCUGAAACGAUAUUAGGUGUGCUUGUAUGCGUUUAUAGAGGUGAGUGUAUGCGCGUGUAUACAAGCGCUUGCGUCUGUACUAUGUUAAAAAAAAUUAGGCCUUGGUCCUCCCAAAUCUGAAAUGAUAUUAAAUUAAAUUAAAGUUCACCGGCCUUAGCCCAGCCCAAAGCAGCAGAAGUCUCGAGCGCGGCGACUAGGGUUAGCCUCAUCGACCUCGCCGGCGGCGGCGGCGACUGGGUUACUCGUGGCGACGGUGGCUUGGGAUUCAUGGCGCACGUAGAGGAGGAGGAGGUCGUGGACAUGGAGCCCCUCUUCUUUAGUGAGGCGUACGUGGAGAAGAUGGUGGCGGAUGCGGAGGAGGAGGAAGAGAGGUGUCGGCGGGAGGAAGAGGAGAAGAUGCGGAAGGAGAAGGAGUACCGGCGGAGACGCGAGGCGCACGAAGCGGUCAUGGACUCCAUCAUCGAGCACGAUCCCAAGGUCGAGCGCGACGUCUACACCCGGUUCUUUCUCAGAGAUUUCUCCGUCUUUGACAUCGACGAGGAGUGUAAGUAGCCUCCAUCUUCAUUGUAUUUUUCUUGGCUAAUAGUGCUAAGUUUCUAAAUUUCUGAUGUAUGGUAACUGAAUUACGUUACAGUAGGAUGUCUCUCACCUGUAUAAUCGUCUAUUAGGAGAAUGCUCGACAAUGUUCAUUAUUGAUGGAUAGCAGUAAACGGGAGAUUGGAUCUUUUGCCCCACUUUACUUGGGCAUUAGAUGAUUUGCCCCAUUUUACAUAGGAUUAGAUCAUUUGCCUCACUUUUCAUUUUUCUUUUGAUGAUUUGCCCUUUUCAAUUACUGUAAUCAUUUUUUAUUUUGUAUCCCUUUUUUCUCCAUGUGAAAAGACACAAUUGCCCCUGUGGCUAAUUUACAAUUUGACACUGUACAAAUCUUUUUUCUUUACAAGCCUGUAUCCAACCGAAGCAACUAAUUAACAGGGAACAAAUCACAUUACUUUCUUUACAUGGCUUUAUCCAACGGAACCAACUACUAACAAAUCAUAGAUUGAUUUUGUUGUGUCGUGGUGUUCAUGGCUAGUGGAGAGGCGGAUCCACCGCCGGCCCCCAAGCCAUCAACUCCGACGACCCCUGCACAGCGAGGCUUCACACAGAUGACAACUGAGACGAUCCCACAGACUGCCGGACAGGAAGGCGACUGUUGCGUCCAUGGAUCACCACGAUCUGCUCCAGAUUGGUCAGUAUAUUAUCUCCCCUUCCUCCCACCCCACGCCAAACACACACACAGUGCCACACGGAUCCAGGGUUUGAACCUCUUGGCAUCUCCUCGCUAGGCAGCCCCUAACGCUGCUACACUUGUAGUAACCCUGCAACUGCAACAAUAUGAUGGAAACAUAAUUAUCAGGAUUCAGGAGUAUAAAGUUCUGAAAUUAUCCAAAUCUUUAAACCAUGUGGAUGAAUACUUCUACGAGGAUCAUGAAUCCAAUGACAUGGGCAUACACUUAGUUUUACUGGAAAAUGAAUAUUAAACAAUUUGUUAAUUGUUUCCUAACAUAACAAAAUGACAGUUAGAUGAUGCCCUUAUGUCCCCUCCAUAACUGAAAAUCUUUUGUUCUCCAAGUAGGUCUCGGCCGGUGGCUAGCAAUGAUACAUAUGUAUCAACUAUGGAAGGAAGUGUUGAUUGGUCCAAGAUUGAGAUAGCACCAAUGAAUGAUGAAGAAAUUGAUGUUCCUAUAACAGAAGAGAACAUGUGCUCGGUGCUUGGCAUCAAUGAUGAACCUGAGCAUCGGAAAAUUGUAUCUGAAGCAGCUAUGAAAGCCUCCAUUGCAGAUGUUGAUGCAUGUGUGGCUGAUAUUGAUGAGGAUUUACUUGCUGAUGCGGCUCUUCCUGUGCCUGACCAUAUGCCUGAAGAGGAUCACUUUUGGUAUGAUAAGGAACAUCCUGUGAUAGAGGAAGGAUCUUUGUUUCGUUCAAUGAACGAGAUUAGGAUGCUCAUGAGAACAUUUGCUAUUAGAGGCAAGUUUGACAUCAAGACCAAGGAUAGUGACACUACUAGAUUUGUGGGUCACUGUAAAGGAAAUGCAUGUCCUUGGAGAAUAACUGCUAGGACAAUAGAAGAUGGAAAAACAGUCAGGGUACAAACUUAUCUAACAUGAAUCAUCUUUUAUGUUAAAACUAUCUUUUAUAAAUUACUUGCAACUAAUGGUUGGUAUUGUGUUUUCUGCAGGUAAACAAGAUAGUAAAGCCUCAUAAGUGUUCAUCAACCGCUGCAGUGAUUACAAGCAUGGCAGACCAAGCAUGGGUGGCAGAAAAGGCAAUGGGGUAUCUUCAAACUGAACCAAACAUUGGUGCCAGCGAGCUCCGAAAAAAGCUACAGGCCGAAUACAAAUGUACUAUUGGGUAUCAUACUGUUGACAAGGGAAAAGAAAGGGCCAAGAAUAGUUUAUAUGGGACCUGGGGAAAAAGCUUUCAGUCAUUAUUGAAUUUCAAAGCUGAGAUUGAUAAAAGAUCUCCUGGUAGCAUUGUCGAGGUUGAUGUCAAGAGGGAAGGAGGUGAAGUGCAUUUCCGCAGAUUUUUUAUGGCACUUAAGCCGUGCAUUGAUGGCUUCUUGGCUGGUUGUAGACCAUAUGUCAGUAUAGACUCCACAUUUUUGACUGGAAAGUGGAAUGGUCAAUUAGCAGCAUGUACAGCACUAGAUGGACAAAAUUGGAUGUUUCCUUUAGCAUUUGGUUUCUUUGGUACGGAGACCGAGGGUAACUGGAUUUGGUUUAUGCAACAACUGCAUAGGGCAAUAGGACAUCUUCAAACUCUAGCUAUUUGUACUGAUGCAUGCAAAGGGUUAGAGAAUGCAGUUAAAAUUGUGUUUCCUCAAGCUGAGCAAAGGGAAUGCUUUAGGCAUCUAAUGGCAAACUUCAAAAAGAAGUUUCACGGAGAUGUUUUUGGUCGCAUGUGGCCAGCAGCCAAGGCUUAUCAUCUGGAAACAUUUAAUUAUCAUAUGGGCAAGAUAUUUGAAGCUGAACCUGCAGUGAGUACCUACUUGUGUACCUAUCAUAACUUAAAGUGGAUGAGAUGUGACUUCAACACAGAAAUAAAAUGUGAUUACAUUCACAACAAUCUAGCUGAGUGCUUCAAUAGCUGGAUCAAAGGAACAAAGGAGCUGCCCAUGGAUGAGCUAGCCGAUGCAAUAAGAGAGAAAAUUAUGAUACUUGUUUAUAGAAGGAGAAGGAUUGGGGAAAUGCUCCAGGGAGAGAUAUUGCCUGCUAUCAUUCAACAAAUAAAUAAUAGAACUAGGCAACUUGACCAUUUGGUUGUUGGAAGAUCAACCGGAGAAAGUUGUGAGGUCAAGGACACUAGCAAGAAUAAUCUUAGGCAUGUUGUGAAGAUAGGCAGCCGUGAGUGCACCUGCCUAGAAUGGCAACACACUGGAAAGCCAUGUGAGCAUGCACUUGCAUUCCUUAUAGAGACGGCAGAUGUGAACUUUCAACCAUAUGUACAUGAGUACUACUCCGUGAGUAGGUUUCGGGCUGCCUAUGCUGGAGAGAUUGAACCAAUCACGGACAAGUCUCAAUGGCCUCAUGUUAAUCUAGAUUUUGAGAUGGUGCCACCGGAUUUAAAGAGCUCCGUUGGGAGACGGAGGAAGCAGAGAAUCAAAAGUUGCCUUGAAGAUGGUGGUGGCAGCAAACGGAAGAAAAAAGAUGAUAAUGGCAAAACAAAUGACCAAGAAGGAGGUGACAAAGAGAAGGAAAAGGAAAAGAAGAGAUUUGGCAGCAGAAAUAGGUGCAAAGAAUGUGGGAUAUUGGGGCACAGGAAAGCAACUUGCAAAAAAAAUGAAGCUAAAGAGAGGUAAACCAUGCACUAAUAUCUCCUUUAUAUUAGUAUCAAAUUAGUACUAUUAUACCAUUUCUAACAUCCGGUGUGACUGAACUUUCUAGUGAUGUGUCUGCUCGCGAGCUCGCUCCAGUUGUUGUUGCGACACCUACACGCACAACAACAAUCACACUGCCUCCCAGCCUUCAUAACAGCCCUGGGCCUAUCACAAGGAGGUACCUAUUAUAUUUGUCAUAAGCACAUUUGAUUCAUGCAAAAGAAAAAUCCUACUUUUAUAACAUUGGUGUGUAAACAUGCAGGAGGCUUGCUAUGGCCAUAGCUGGAGACGAUGCAUCACAGCCAUGUGGGACAAGUACUGUUAAUUCUACAGCAUCACCUACUUCUCACUUCCCUUCACGCUCUACGGCAUGCAAGAAAAAAUUGACCCCGAAGAGGAAGAAGCUCUCAUUUUAGUGCAUUCAAUUCUAUUUUAAAUUCGUAGAGGUGUUGAAAUUUGUCAAUUUCAAAGAUAUUGGCUCGAAAAAAUACUUUUUUGCUUGAUGUAAAUUCGGAUUAAUUUAUCAUGUCGCUUGAACCAAGCAAACCUUUUUGUGGCAUCAGUUCGUGAUUUCAGUGUGAUAUAUUCUCUCAAUUCCAUGUGCUAAGUGAACAUAUGUUGUCAGUCUAUUUUUUUUCCUAUGAAGAUGUUAUAUGCUGCCAAUUUCCAACGAAAUGCAUAUGCCAGGAUGCACAUCAUAUAUAUAGAUCUCUGACCAGUGACUAAAGUAGAUCCAGCAAAAGAUGAAGCAUAUAUAUUUUGAGUGUGAUACAAUUAAAGUAUGAAGCAUCUGGAGGAGAUAACUAAACAAAGCAUUUUAUAUAAUGUACCCAGCUCCAUGAUUGAAGCAGUACCAGCUGCUAGGGUAAUUAGUACUAUCAACACUGUCGUCCAGCCAUAGCUAUUACCGACCAACGAGCUGACACACAUCAAAACUGUAAAUCCAUUAAUCAUUGGAAGAAGGUAGUUUUUACCAGCAACGAGCGCACCAUCUGCCGAGCUGCAGCUCGAGCCCUGGAAUCCGCCCGUUCGCCGAGCUGGAGCGGGAGCCGCCGCGGCGGGCCGCCGAGCUGCAACGGGAGCCGCCGUCCCGGGCCGAGGAGCUGCAGCGGGAGCCACGGAACCCGCUGGUCCGCCGAGCUGCGGCGUGAGCCCCGGGAAUCGCCGGUCCGCCGAGCUGCGGCCGGAGCCGCCGCCCCAGGCCGAGGAGCCGCAGCGGGAGCCCCGGGAGCCGCCGGCGCCGGCCGACCAUCUGCGGGAGCUGCCGCGCCGGGCUGCUGCUGCCAAGAUGGGGGCCAAGGUGCCGUGGUCGGCCUCCUCUGGUAUGAGUAAAGAAGAACAGAGGAAAUGCGUUGAACUGGGGAACAGUGAGCUCGUCGAUGCAACUUAGUGUCAGUCCAACAGCGGUGUCAAAUUGUAAAUUAGCCACAGUGGCAAUUGUGUCUUUUCGCAUGGAGAAAAAAGGGAUACAAAAUAAAAAAUGAUUACAGUAAUUGAAAAGGGCAAAUCAUCAAAAGAAAAAUGAAAAGUGGGGCAAAUGAUCUAAUCCUAUGUAAAAUGGGGCAAAUCAUCUAAUGCCCAAGUAAAGUGGGGCAAAAGAUCCAAUCUCCCGCAGCAGUAAACAGCCAGUCUGAAUUUAUUUAUAUGGGUCAUAUGUAUAUCACUUAUAACGACAUAAAUCGCGGAUUUGACUAAUAUCUUUCUAAAUUUCUGAUGUAUGGGAACAGUAGGAUGUCUCUCACAUGUACAAUCGUCUAUUAGGAGAUUCCUCUGACAUGCCAUGUUCAUUAUUGAUGACUAGCAGUGAACAGCGAAUCUGAAUUCAUUUAUUUGGCUCAUAUGUACUCCGUAUCACUUGACAACAGGAAACACGGAUUUUGCUGAAACUGAAAUUAACUUGGUACAAAUGGUGAGAUGAUAGCUUUCUCUUGAAGUUAACUCAGUAAGUGAAAUCCGGAUAUUAGAUGGUUUAACUCGGUGGGAUAGAAAUGGGGAAAACACAAACUGGGGCUGUUUAUUGUGAUGAAAUAAUUUGAUAGAUUUAUAUUUUACUUAUUUAUUGCAGCGUCUGUCCCUCCAAUGCGAUACUCUGAUAGUACCUACGAAGAUGAAUUUGGGCUAGAAGACUCUGCAAACAUCCUCUCUGUCAGCAUAGUCUCCUCAGAUGUAGGCUUCCCAGUCAAUGUCUAUGGCCGUGUCAUUGCCAGAGACAGCAUUGACUACAAGUGCAUUUAUCUCUUUCACCGCAAUAGAGAUGAUUGCCAGCGUCUCAACAAGGUACAUCCUUGCUUCUAAGUUUGUUCUAAUCGGGUUUCAUUUUAUUUGAAGAUGCCUUUAACAUCUAAAUGGGCUCAUCUUAGUGCUGGUGGUUGUCGAUUCAGAUAGUCAUUUGCAUAUAAAUGGGGAAGCUUUUAUGGCAUGCUUUCAAUCUUCAUUUUGAGCAGUGUUUGGAUGAGCAUACUCUAAUCUCUCAUGCAAUUCUUUUCAUAGGAUGGAAUGCUGAUUUUAACUGGCCCAAGUCGAGGUCUAGUGCUGGUUGAUUUCAUCUAUCUAGAGAUAGAUCUUAAAAUCAGGGAAGAUGGAGUGUCUCCAGACAGGCCAUUUAGCAAGGGUCUAAUAAGUAUUGAUGGCCGAGUACUGUCUAGAGAGGAAGAUGUCGUGGUUAGAAGUGAAACCCUUGAGAGCUGGCUCAGCACUACGGAAGUGAGAUUCGCAACUGUUCUCAACGCAGUUGAGUGCACCAUUGAAAUCAAGCUUCUUGAGGGCCGUUUCAAAGGAAAUAUAAUAGUUGGCAUCUCAGAUAAAGUUCGCAAUCUGGACACUGAACAAACAAUUGUGAUUCAUGAUAGCAAGACAGAUGGCAUGGUGACAAGUGAUCAAAUUGGAGUUAUCAAACUCCGGCGAAGUGUCAUUACUAUCUGUCUAGAAAGAAUGCUGGUGUUUCACAUGAAUAAUAAUAUGGCUGCUGGUAUUUGUGGUGAACGAACCUUUGAUUUAACUCCACGCCGCACUGGUGCAGAUGAAUUGGAAAUUACGUGUGGUGCUGGGAAGUUCGGAUUCAGGGUCGUCUGGUCCUUGAUGGACUUUAGGCUGUAAUCAUGUGCCUUUAUAUACUAAGUUGAACUAAGUUAUAUCGCGAGUCAGUGAUGUAAUGGAUAAGUAGAUGUAGUGAACUGGGUUAUAUCGUGGUGUAAUGAUGCAGUGAACUAAGUUAAUUGUGGUGCAAUGAUGUAGUGAACUAAGUUAAUCGUGAUGUAAUGGUGUGGUGCACUAAGUUAUAUUAUUGUUAUUAGUUAACUUGAUGGAUUAUAAGUAAUGAUGUAGCGAACUAAAUUAUAAUGUAUUAUGGUGGCGUGUUAUACCGAAUUUGUUGGUUUCAUUUUUUUGGCAUAAUCAAAGCAGAUUAGCGUGCUUGGCAUUUUGUUAGACAUGUAUUAGGCGGAAAGAUGAACAUUUGUCACUGUUAAGGGACUUUUCUAUCAUAUUUAUAACCGUGGUUUGUAUUGAUUGCUCAUGGUCACUUCUGUGUUAUCUAAAUAUCCUGAAAAUUUAAAUAUUUGGAAGAUGGUUUGUAUUGAUUGCAUUCCAUUUGGUUGUUGUUAUUCUGAACCAACUUCUGAAGCACAACCUGGGUUCAACUAGGAAGGCAGGAGGCACCUGCAUAUUCUCAGUUCUGAACCACAUGUUUGUUGGGAAGGAGUGUCCUGCCCGAGAAAGUGGCUUCAUUUUUAGAUCCAUGUUGCUUGUUCAAGUCAAUUUUGUUGGUACAUAAGAAAUUUAAGGAUGUUUACAAAGGAAACGAUCUUCAAGACACCAUGCCGCCAGAGAUACUUUUUCUUCCCAUGUUCUCUUUUAUAAACUUUGUUGGUUCUGGGCUUCAUUUAUUUUCCUACUAAAUCAAGUAUAUUACCUAGGGCAUACAUUUAUUUUCCCAGUAAAUCAAGUAUAUUACCUAGUGCCUUUCUUAUCACAUAUGUGAAUGUCAUUAGCCCAAAGACAAACGUUAAUGUCAACAAUUCAUGAUUUUUACAGUAUAUGAUUUUGCCCUCAAGUUAUGUAUGAGUGUAAUUUCUUGUUCUAAAUAUGAUAGUGCGUGAAGUUGGUGGUGACGACAAAUGCACUGGAAAAUGUUGGAAUUGCUAACUUGGAUACAUGGAUCUAGCACGAUGAGAGGAUAAAGGUCAGUAUGUUGUAAUAUUUGCCAUUUCAAUCUGAACUUCUGAAUGAUUGCCACCUCUACCUCUAAAAACCGUUGGUUGUAACACUCUUGAUGGUUUGGCUUUACUAGCUGUUUUGAACGCAUUGAUUGGUACCAAGAGGCAUGAUUCUCCUGACCAUAGUUUAAGAAAUAAUCAAUACUUGAUCGAUUUUCUGUGAAUCAUUAUUUAAACAGCACAAAACAAAAAGGUCCAUGCUGUCUUUUGUUCUUGCACACCUUGAGGGCUGUUAUGAAACCAGUGGACUGGUAACAAUUGAAGAUGGUAACUUCAAAUAAAAUGGAUUAGGAUCACGGAUCUUCAGGGCCAGUAAAUAAAUUUUGAGUUAUAGAACAUCAGAAUUAUAAUACGUUGAGCAUGAACUGAAAACCUGAAAUAGUAUAGAACAGAACAUCACAGCAAAGCUACUGGCUAGAGCUGGGAGAUUGACAUUGGUUAAUGCUUUCUUCAUGGCCACUGCAACUUAUUUCCUCCCCGUUUUUGCUCCAAGCAAAUGGACAACCAAGAGAAUGGACAAGAAAUUUUCUUUGGAACGUGGACGAGGAGGCUAAGGGGAGGAAAUGUCUCAUGAAUUGGCGCUCUGUUUGCUCCCCCAAGAAUGCCGGUGGUUUGGGCAUCAAGGACACUGCUUACGUUAGUAGAGCAUUGCACCUGCUUGUUUUAGUUUGGGCAUCAAGAGACCUUGGUCUGGCAGCCCUACCCCCUGUGAUAAUUAUUGAUAAAAGGCAUAAAGCUAGAUGUUCUCUGUUUGCUCUGUUGCACACACAUUGAGCUUGGUGAUGCAGCUAAAGUGGGUUUUUGGAUGGACCGUUGGUUGCUGCCAGAAGAAUAUUACUGUCAAAGAAACUUUGGGACUAAAUGGUUGGAUGUGUGACCUCCUGAGGAUGAAUAGUGAAGAUGAACUAGGUCAGUUCAUUGUUUUGUGGGACAAAGUGCGGUCUGUUAAGUUGUCCAUGGGGCCGUAUGAUAUUUGAUGGCUACUAACGGUGGAUCGUCGCUUCAGCUGCCUUGCAUAUGGAUUUCACUUUGCUGCAAACUCCCCUCAACCACUAUUGGAUAGUGUUUGGAAAGUGAAGGCUGAGCCCAAAAUUAAAUUUUACUUGCGGCUUCUAUUGAAGAAUGGCACCUCUUCUGUCCUAUGUGAUCAGGUUCCUGAAUCUGCUACUCAACUGACGUUUAACUACUCCUUCGCUCGCCACCUCUUCUGUCUCUCUGACGAUAAGGUGGCUACCGUCGGAUUUCGUGCUGUCACAAUCAAAGUAUGGUGGCACAAAUCUUCCGCCCUAAGCAAGUUUGCUGUCUUGAAGAAGCAAGACACUGCUGCUGAUUACAUUGCGUAGAAUCUAUGGAAAGGGAGGAACUGCCGAUCUUUUGAGGAUGUGAGUGCACGCUGAGGUUGUAGUGUAUAGCUUAUGCUCAUAGUCUGAGGUAGCGUCCUCCAAAGCAUGCCUGGCUGAGUGUUGUAUAUCAUGUUGNNNNNNNNNNNNNNNNNNNNNNNNNNNNNNNNNNNNNNNNNNNNNNNNNNNNNNNNNNNNNNNNNNNNNNNNNNNNNNNNNNNNNNNNNNNNNNNNNNNNNNNNNNNNNNNNNNNNNNNNNNNNNNNNNNNNNNNNNNNNNNNNNNNNNNNNNNNNNNNNNNNNNNNNNNNNNNNNNNNNNNNNNNNNNNNNNNNNNNNNNNNNNNNNNNNNNNNNNNNNNNNNNNNNNNNNNNNNNNNNNNNNNNNNNNNNNNNNNNNNNNNNNNNNNNNGAAAAAGCAGGCUAUUGCCGGUAAAAAAAAACGGAUUUGAUGCUUCAGAGCAAACUUUGAUGGUUAGCAUUGCCGAUGACCCUGAGUCUGAAACUUGUUUGCUCGUGAGACAUGUUCAACUAAAUUUGGAAACAGGUGAUCAAUGAAGGUUUCAGUCAAGGCAUUAUCCAAGUGCAAGCACAGAUGUUCAUCUUGAAUGAUGGCGCUUAAUUUUCCUAAACAGUCAAUACAUUGUCCAUAUAUUAACUAGCAUUCUUCUUCCAGUCUCAGCAUGACAUUUUUUUUUCAAGGAACCAGCAGGAGCACUACCUUUUCAUUUCAGAUGAAAGAGGAGAGUAUAUGUAUAGAGGUGUCAUGUUUUUCAAAGGAACCUGACAAAACCCAUCUCAGCAUGACAUAGGACGGCCGCUCGAGCAUUGUCUAACUAUAAAAAUUUAAAAGGAUCAUGCGACGCGCCCCAACCUUUGAAUCUUCCAUGGAGCUUGAACGGAAGCCUGAGACCAGUAUUACAUGGUUGCUUCUGGGCUUGCAUUAUGUUUAAAUGUUAGUUUAUGUUGUACUGAUAUGAUGUUAACUUUUCACUCUUUUUGUAGGCAUUAUGUACAAUUUUUCUGCUCAUUUGUACUUGAUGCAUUUGCCAAGCAGUUGUCUGGUCCUGCUAUCUUUUUUUACCUGAAUGUUACUCCCUCCGUUCCAAAAUAGAUGACUCAACUUUGUACUAAAUUUAUACUAAAUCUAGUACAAAGUUGAGUCAUCUAUUAGUACAAAGUUGAGUCAUCUAUUUUGGAACGGAGGGAGUAGAAGGCUGAUGUCAGAUUUUUAAGGAGUCCGAGCGAACGAUCUCGUGCAUGUCGGGUUCCACGCACCAUUCCUGAAGUGUUCACUGCAAAUACAUCAUUUGAGCAAACUACGAGGUGUUGGCACUAAGCACUAAUUGGUUGGCUCAGGAUGUCAAUAUGAGCGAACACAUUCACAGAUAAUAAUUUAUGGUUUUAGAGCAUCUCAAUUAUCACCUUUUUCUGUUGAUGUAGCAUGACAAUUUCAUUCAGCUAGUAUGGCAAAUCCUGAAUGGCAAUUUUUAGUUUACAACAUGGCAACUCCUUAUACAACAUCACAUUUUUUUGAGCAUUCGCUGAGAGUUUUUUCAAUGAACGAAAAUGUUUGCUUGUUCGUGUGACAUCUAGGCUUAAGAGAAUGAUAUAUUACUCAUAUCAACAAGGUACACCUGCUUUUUAGAGCGCCAUCCAAAAGGAACAUCCAAGUUAAGUGCGUGCACGAGUGAGGAAACAAAUGCGCAUAAAAUACUAGUGUUAGUACGUAAGGCCAGUUUAGAUCCCAAGCGCAAUGGCUAGGAACUGAUAUGUUUGGUCAGGGCGUUACAAUUCCUACCUGGUUUGGAGAACGGUCAUUCACUCAGGUUACCCCCAAGGGAAUGUCAGCUGUAUAUUGACGCCCUCUUUUUAAUUGUAUACAGGGAUCCAUGCCGCCUCAGUGCUUCUGUUUUCAAGUGGAUCCUGCUAUACAACUGCCUUUGGCAGCUCCCACCUCCUUCUCAUGGUGUACAAACUGUUGUGUAAUCCAGAAAUAGAGACCGGGAGUAGUCCCUACCCCCCCCUCCACCCUAUAAGUCGUAGUAGUACUCCGAUCAAAACCACUCUAGGAUUUUCUAUAUAUUUAAGAGACUGAUCUCCACUGCAUUUAUUUAUCUCAACAUUCAACUAUACGACCUUAACAGGCAACAACGCAGGGGCAAAAUAGUCACCUCACAUGCUAUCCUGCAUGAGAAAAGUCUACAACAACAUGCAACCAUGCUUGUGAAAACUAUUAUACUACAUGUACUCUAUACAUAUUUUACAUCUAUACAGUAAUAAAUUAUUCAUGUUUCAAUUUCAUCAAAAUCUAUAGUCACCAAUUUCUACAACAUCAUGUGUGGGGUACUGCCUAGUUUCUAAAAGCCAGUACAUAAUAACUUACGAACGGCUCCCUACAAUAUAGCCAGACUCUUAUGGGUGUUUAGUAAACAUAUAUGUUGUACUCUCUUUGCACCAAGGGAACAUAUUAGUGAUUCUAGAGGAUUCCCCAAACUAGCCUUUCAUGGUGUCAAAGCUUAGAUGAUGGUGACCGAGCCCUAGCUACUGGUUGUGAUAUGUCGGCGACCUCAUGUUGCAGAGGAAGUUGUUGGGCAGUUUGUGGUCAUGCAGAAAGCCGAAGCCCAACCCUGGGUGUUGCAGCGUGGUUGGAUUGGAGCGGAGCGUGAGAUAUGGAGAGGAUUGCAGGGAUCGUCAGUGGUAAUCGGCGGUGUGUGGAGGAGCUUCAGUGCUUGUGGACAAUUGUGCAGACAGAGAAUAAGCUCAAUGUAUGACAACAGUACUAGGCAGAGGAGUAUUGUCCGGGCGAAGGUGCUGUUGCAAGUGUUGUGGAGCUGUGGAGGUUGUGGUUGGCUGCGCGCGUGAGUACAAUGACCUACAGGCCUGCGGCGCUAGAACGUGAGGGUGAAAGGUACUCCCUCUGUCCCAUAAUAUAAGAGCGUUUUUGACACUAAACUAGCUGGGUAAGGGCCCCUUCAAGUCUGGCUGCUUGUAGCUCACAAGGGAGAAGCAUUGGAGGUGCCUGGUGGGUGCUAUGUGUGCGAGCAGAGAAAAGGUGAACAAGCUGGCAGUGAAGAGGACGAUAGCUCGUGGCUUCUGCAAGAACUAGAUAAGAGGUGGGUUGCCGGAAUUAGUUCUUAAGUUAGUGCUGCUCAAGAAUCUGCAAGAGGAGAAGGUGCUACAACCUGGUUGAAAACAUUGUUGCUGAGCCUAAUUGCAAGAGGAGCAACUCUGCUAGUUAUGUGAGUUUUGCAGUCUACACUACUGUGGGGGUGGGUGAAUCACGGGAUUCAACUAAGUUUUGAAAAAAUGGCUCAACUUCUCACCGCAAAGGCAGGGAUGCAUCCUCCAGCAAUGCAAUAAUCUCUCGUAGCAAGCUGACACAGAAAAUAGAGUCGGUGCCAAAUGAUAUCAAAAUGGAGGGUAUCACUGAUUUUGAAGACAAAAGGACUUGAUAACUUUGUUGAGGAGGAAUCAAUGGAUCCAACGGAUAAGACAAGUCCAGAGUGGAGGACAUUGAGUACUACCAACUCGCUGGUGGUAGCAUGGUUGAUGAAUAGUAACAAAUGAGUUUUAAAAAGUAACACAAAAUCCACUCGUCAACCAACUCAUCAGUCAUCACCCAUCAUUCAUCAUAUGUGCUACUACUAUUCAAGAAAUAUUCUACAACUAUACAAUAAUAAAAUACAAUAAUUUUUAUGUAUUUUUUAUUAUAAUACUAUUAACCCAAACACUAAUGUUUCAUAUAACCAAAUCUAAUAAUUAAUCCCAACGAACUCUAGUACUCUCAACAUGCAACUAUGCCAACUCAUCAUUCAUCAUGGAUGGGAAGAUCUAUCUUAACAUGCAACAUGAACCAUGCAUGCUACUCUUAUUCAAUAAAUAUUUUACAAUUAUACAAUAACCGAACACAAUAAACUACAUAUAUUUUAGUUAUCAUACUAUUAAUACAAAUACCAAUGUUUCAUACAACCAAAUAUCAUUGAAAUAACUGCAAUCAAUUCCCUCAGCUACGUGCAGAGUAGCAUCUCUAGUUUUUAAAGUAGUAUAGAGACGAGGGAGGUUGUUUUGCCUUGGGGGCUUCGUAGGCUGAUAAGUCACUUGGGCUUGGCCCGGCCAAAAGCAGUUGUGACAUAGAAUAAACAAAGAGGAAAAGGAGUCGACGCGAAGGUAAUCCCUACUCGACGCCUUUAGUGCUAGUUAACGUGCAUUUCGUUAACUAGCGCAUGAAGCAUUCGAAAAUGGGCGGUUGAUCUAGGUUCCAGCGGGAGGGAGCUAAGCUUCCCAGCCAGUUUUUUUUCGUUUAGGUUUUUCUCUGGACGGGUUUUUGUUCGGUUUUUCUCUUUUUCUUUUUCUUUCCUUUACUGUUUUUCCUUUUUUACUUAUUUUCCCCCUUUUUGAAAAUGCACAACUUUUUAAAUUUGAUGAACCAUUUCAAGCAAACAAUUUUUUGAAAAAUCGAUGAAUUUUCUCAAUUUUGAUGAACCUAUUUGCAAAUUUGAUGAACUUUUUCAAAGUUUGAUGAACUUUAUUUGAAAAUUGACGAUUUGUUUUUUCAAAUUCAAUCAACUUUUCUUUGCAAACCAUGAAAUUUUUAUAAAAAUCGAACUUUUUAGAGUCCAAUGAACUUCUUCAAAAUCAUCGAACCUUUUCUCAAACUCGUGAACUUUUUACUAAAAUACAUGAACAUUUGUUGAAUUCAUGUUUUUUUAAUUUUUGUUGUGUUUUUUUAUUUCUUUAAAGUUCAAUAGUUGACCGGUCAACUAGUCAACGGUCAACUGGUUAACCGUGGCCGAGUGAACCUAUCUUCUUUUUAGCUAAACCAGUACGCGGUCUUUUUUUUAGCGUACCAGUGCGCGAUCGGGCAAGUAGCCGCAUCACGUUUUUUUGGGUCGGCCCAGAACUUUGAGCGCGUGGGUGCUGGUUCUCAUAGCCAGUGCUUCAGGUGCCGACUUCGCGACGCAAAACCCUAUUUGCUGCUCCUUGCGACAAGUUGUCGGAGCGCCACACAGGGAUAUCGAGGAGCGUUCUGGGGUUGGCCGGCACGUGAAACAUUUCAGCGAUUCUGAUUUUGGGAACCAUUGUGGUGGUACACAGCCGGUUUUUUCUUGUUUUGGGAGGCAUCUAGGAGGUUCCCAAAACUUUUGUUUUCUGUUUCCUUUUAGUUUUUGCUUUUCUUUUUUCCAAUUUCUUUUUUUCUUGUCUUCCUUUUUCUUUUUCUUUUUCGUUUUUCCCUUUUCCUUUUUUCUAGUUUUAUUUUCAUCUUUUUCGUUUNNNNNNNNNNNNNNNNNNNNNNNNNNNNNNNNNNNNNNNNNNNNNNNNNNNNNNNNNNNNNNNNNNNNNNNNNNNNNNNNNNNNNNNNNNNNNNNNNNNNNNNNNNNNNNNNNNNNNNNNNNNNNNNNNNNNNNNNNNNNNNNNNNNNNNNNNNNNNNNNNNNNNNNNNNNNNNNNNNNNNNNNNNNNNNNNNNNNNNNNNNNNNNNNNNNNNNNNNNNNNNNNNNNNNNNNNNNNNNNNNNNNNNNNNNNNNNNNNNNNNNNNNNNNNNNNNNNNNNNNNNNNNNNNNNNNNNNNNNNNNNNNNNNNNNNNNNNNNNNNNNNNNNNNNNNNNNNNNNNUUUCUUCGUUUUUUUCAUUUCAGAUUUUUACAAAUGUGUCAAAAUUUUCAAAAUAGUUCAAAUUUGUUAACAUUUCAAAAAGUGUUUGGUAUUUCAAAAAAUUAUUCGCAUUUUGCAAAAGAUGUUCAAAAUUUUGGAAAAUAUUACGGUUUUCAAAAGUAAUUGUUCGUGUAUUAAAAAAUGUUCACGCAUCCAAAGUUGUUCGUGUUUUUCAAAUUGUUCUGCGUUUCGAAAUUUGUUCUUAAAUUUAAAAAAUGUGCGUGAUUUUGUAAUUCUUCCUUUCAAAAAUUUGUUGUAGUUCAUUAUUUUUUGGCGUUAACAAAAAAUGUUUGGAUUUUUAGAAAAAUGUUUGAAGUUUAGAAAACUGUUUGCGUUUUGUAAAAAAAUGUUCAAAAUUUCCAGAAAGUGUCCGUUUUCCGAAAGUUUGUUCAUGUAUUAAAAGUAUGUUUGCAAUUCAUAAUAUUCUCGUGUAUUAAAAAAUUUCUCUCAAUUUUAAAAUUCAUUCUUAAACUUUUAGAACUGUCUAGGCUUUAAAAAAAUGUUUAUGUCAAAAAUUUGUUCCAAUUUUUAGAUUUUGUGCAGAAAUUAAAAAUGUUCCCGUUUCUUGAAAAAAUGCGGGAAUUUCAUUAUGUGUUCAUGAUUUGAGAAAAUUUCAAAAUUUCUUCAUGACUUCUCAAGGAGAUUUAAUUUUGAUAGAUUGAUAUAUCUUUUAGUUUCUGGAUGCAUAUCAGACACAAGAGCACAUCAGUCGUAUUGGUUCUCGUGUCAUAGCAGUUUCGAAUCGCAGGAAUCGUAAACCAUUUUUCCAUGUUUGACUCUCGCUCCUGUGCGAUUGGCCGACUACUUGCCAUCAAGAGCGGCAUAGAACGCACAGAGCGACCGAGCUGGGCCGGCCUAUUUAACGUUUCCGCUUGUUCUGAUUUUUGGAACCUGCUGAAAGGUUACAGCCCAAGUUUUUACCGAUGUGGGAAUCUUCUAGAAGGUAAUGGAAUCUGUUUUAUUCCUUCCCAAGUGUUUCUGGUUUCUGGUCUAAUUUACUUAUUUUUCCGUUUUGAUUAUCUUAAAAUAUGAAAUGACAUUUUUUUAAAUCUUCAAAAAAUGUUUAAUUUCCAAAAUUGUUCAGGAUUGCAAAAAAUGUUCGUUUUCUUCUAAAAAACUAUCAGAAUUCCAAUUUUUGGGAAUUGCAAAAAAUUGUUCAUGUUUUAAAGAAAUGCUCAGAAUUUCAAAAAGUUUUAGUGUUUUUCGAAAAAUGUUGGGAAUUUCAUAAUGUCUCCCGCUUUUGAAAAAGUUCGAAAUUUUCAAAAUGUUUGUGUUUACUGAAAAAAAUUGCCAUUUAAAAAUGUGUUUGUUUUUUAUUUUCUUUUUAGAAAUUGUUCGCAUUUUAUGAAAAUAUUUUAAAAAACGUUUCCAUUUUCAUAAAUCGGACGGAAUUCUCCAAGUUUAUUCACAAUUUUAGAAAAGUAAGAAAGGGUUUGUUUUUGUCAAAAAUGUUACAGCAACUCGGUGUCCUACUCUGAUCUCAGAAAACAAACAAAACAAAAAACUCCGUCUCCCGUUACCAAUGGGUCGGGCCUGUGCGAAGGAGCCACUCCUUGCCGCAGCGAACGGCGAGUAGGAGGUGACAACGGCGCUCUAGGGUUUGCUCGGAGGCGGCGGCGAGUAAGGAUUCAUUCCCCAUGGCGUCUGUGGAGGAGUUUGAGGAAGAAGAGGAGGAGGUGGAGGGCUUCGAGCAUUUCUUCUAUGCCCGGGAGAAUUGGGUUGCCUGGGCAGAGGAGGAGGUGGAGAGGCGUCGGUGGGAGGAAGAUGAGAAGGCGUGGAAGACGGAGGAGAGCAGGUGGAGACGCGAGGCACACGAAGCGGUCAUGGACUCCAUCAUCCAGCACGAUCCCAAGGUGGGGCGCGAGGUCUACACCCGGUUUUUUCUCAGAGACUUCUCCGUCUUCGACAUCAACGAGGAGUGUAAGCAUAGCAGCCUCUCCAUAUCUCCUACGAGGCCAGUCUAAGUUUCACUGUUCAUGUAAAUGAAGUUAACCUUUUCUUUGAGCAGUGACCAGAGUCCCACCAUAGGUUGUUUAUAUCUAAUGAAUUUUAGUGGGGCAACUGGUCAACUGUUUUGCUGUUAUAUCCUUCAUCUUAGGAAGAUAUGAAGACAUGCUUCUCUUAGAACGCGUACAAUGAUGCUAUCUUUGGAGUGCCAUGUUGGAUAAAUACUAAGAUUGAGGAAAGGGAAACCAUAAAAAAUAUGUUUGUANNNNNNNNNNNNNNNNNNNNNNNNNNNNNNNNNNNNNNNNNNNNNNNNNNNNNNNNNNNNNNNNNNNNNNNNNNNNNNNNNNNNNNNNNNNNNNNNNNNNNNNNNNNNNNNNNNNNNNNNNNNNNNNNNNNNNNNNNNNNNNNNNNNNNNNNNNNNNNNNNNNNNNNNNNNNNNNNNNNNNNNNNNNNNNNNNNNNNNNNNNNNNNNNNNNNNNNNNNNNNNNNNNNNNNNNNNNNNNNNNNNNNNNNNNNNNNNNNNNNNNNNNNNNNNNNNNNNNNUAUGAUAGCAGCGCGACACUUGAUAUCCAUGUCGUCUGUGUGUGUGGUGGCGCCUGAGUCAGAGGAUGGUCGGACCGCCGGAGACAGCCAUGUCGCUGCUGACCACACGACCAUGCCGACUCGCCGAGAGGCAAUACACUAUGAUGGCUCAGGACGAACCUAAAGCAAACAAUGAGAGUUUUUAGUAUGGUGCAUGGAAAAACAAGUACAAGAAAAUAUACCACAAACCGCAAAACUUCAAUAAUUAAGAAGACGAUAAUUACCGUUCCCCCGUGGUAUGAAAUCUCCCCAGGAGAUAUGUUCACUGCAAUUUUCUCAACCAUCUUCCUCAUUGAAUCAUAAUCAUACAAACCUAUGCGGGGGGUUAUUUCUCGUGGCCUGUUUAGUAUACCAAGGUCGAGACAAUCGAGAAAAAAAAAAUCUGAUUUAUAUGUAACAACAACAUAGAACAAAUGCAUUAGCAUGGGCGGGAGAUUGGCACAGCAAGAAGUUUCAAAAAUGAAAAAGCUCAGUAGUUUGUGCAUGCAAACUGGACCACAUACCUGCAGAAACAAGUGACAAUCAACUAUAUGGAUGGUUGGGUUUCUCAUUGAAACAUCUGGCUUGAACUUUCUAACAGCUUGAAACAAGUGUUUCAGUACAUACCGUCCCCAGUUCCAACUCUUAAUCUUGCUAAUGUCAUUCAGUGCAGCCCAGAAGUCUAUGGAUAUAUAAUCAUGUUUGGAGGUGGAAGCCAGCACAUGACCGAUUAUAAAAAUAACAAAUGCAAUCUUGAAACAGUCCUGCUGUAUUUGGGAUGACGAUUUUGAUAUCGCUCCAAGCAAAACAUUUUCAGCUGCUUUUAGGCUAUGCGUGCCUUUGUCACUGAAUGAUGCUGCCAUUCGUGUGUACUCGAUGCAGGCUUCUGAUGGCUCGACGUCUUCGCCGUUUAUAUCCAAUUCACCGGAGGGGAUGCCAAAAACAUAAUUAAGCUUCUGUUCGGACAGUUCAAGCACACCCUGUUCCUCAAGGUUGAUUGUGCUAGAUUCUACAUCCACUCGGUCCAUUAAAAAAGCACUAUACUUCAGAUUAAUCUUCUGCCAUGCCUUCACCUCUAGAAACCCCCCAAAUCCAAUCUCCAUAACUAGCUGCCGCUUGAAAUCACUGAACUUGGCAACAACCGAACCAACUUUGAGCAAUGAAAGCCCGGGGGUAAAAUAUGGUGUCCCUGGUAAUCCAGUGGAACCACCUGAACCAUCCUCGUCACUAACCCGAUCUUCCGGGGAUUGGUCACUGUUUUCUACACGAUUAAUCACCAUAGCAGCUUGUAUCCCGCUAAAAAAAUCUGUCAUCCUCACUUCUCUAAUUGCCUCACGGCAAAAAACUUCUGCCUAUGCGAACAGAAGCGAGCUAGGGAUGAGCAAAACACUAAGAACAGGGGCGGAUACGGCAGCACAUAUCGAAAAACAGAGGAGGGGGGCGAGGGUGGGUACCUUUGCGGAGAACUCUUCUUCCGUACGCCGCACGCCGCCGGCCAAGAAUCAACCUCGGGCGUCGCCUGGACGCCCGGGGACGAGGGAGUCGGUGCUCCCGCUUGCUCCUUCAAAACAAAAGUCGGGGAAGAACAGGGGGGGCUCGAGAGAUGAAUGCCGAGGGCAGGGGUAGAUGGAGACAACUGUGGGUGAGGUGACGGUGUAGUAAAUUACCAUACAAGACAUGACUCUGAAAAGAGAACCAGAAUGCGCGACGGAAAGUUGAUGCACAACAGCGGGCCUCACACAUUAAACCUGAACUGGCUAAUGAUAUCUCUAUGGUUAUUAGCGGCCGUCACACCUAAAACAUGAACGCGUCGUUGACUUGAAACAAUCAAAUGUUCCAGCCAAGUGUUAAACUUAUGUUAGAUAACCAUCAUCACAUGACAUGAAUCAUGGUAAAUGUAUUGCAGGCACGGGGCACAUCUUACUAACCUAGACAUUUGUCAAAAUCAUGGGCAAGACCUGGCAAUUAGUGAAACAAAACAACUUAUUUGGUUCUGCUUAGCGAACUGUACCUAAAGGAAACCAACUUGCGUGUUAGCUGGUCGUCAGACUGCCACGUCCCGCGAUUGAACAAAAAUGUGAUUGUGAAUCAGCAACGUUGCUCCAUAGGAAAAUUACACGUCGUACAUGUCUCCGCCAUCCCCGGUCGAACAUGUACAGCUCGCCAAAGUUUUGUUCGUACAUGUCAGCUGCGAGACAAAUGCCUAUAGACUUUUGCAUGUACUUGGGACCUGGCUCCUCCAAUACAGGCCAAAAAUAAAUCAAAUACAUGAGGGAUACGUUGCAAGCAGGAAUCCACAUGGCGUUUUCACGGCCUCUCGAUACCGGCCUCCUUGGUGCGCGGCCGCUGUUCGCAUUUUUCGUUAUGGAUAGACGUUCUUGGGGUAUUAUAGUUUUUGUAUUUGGCGACUUGCCGGUAGUUGUUGUGACGGAAUAGAGUAAUAUAGAAUUGCGAGAAGUAUAUUUUUCUCCAAAGUAUAGAAAUUGUUCUUCAAUUUCAAAAUCAGUAAAACUUACUCCCUCAAUUUCUCAAAUUAGAUAAUUUCAGUCCCUUAACUUCUCAAACCAGAUAACUUCAGUCCCUCAUACCGUUUAAGGUGGUUUUCAUCUCAUGUUGACACAAUUUUGACUAAAAACUUGACACAUUGUUCGGAUUUGACUGCCAUGUCACUGUCCACUUUGGCGCCAUGUUUAGUGGGGAGCAUGAUCAGCACUGCCAUCGUUGGGUCGGUGUUCAUCGUCUUGUACUGCAGGAAGAGGGAGGCGUCCCUAUGCAGCGGCCACUGGACGCUGGAGCACCUCGUCCCCGACGACCAGGCGUCGGAGUUGCACGUGCUCGCCUGCGUACAUUGCAUAGUUUUAAAUAACCGGCUAUAGCUUCGUUAUAGCUCCGCUAUAGCUGUUUGAGCAUGUUGCCGCUAAAUGAUUUCAUAUAUAAUUUGUCGCUAUAGUCCAGUUAUAGCUGUUUUUAAGAGUCGUCACUAUAUGCUAUAGCCCGCUAUUUAAAACAUUGAUACAUUGACGCCGGUGAUGCUCUCAACCUUUAGGAGCUGCCAGCAGCAAGCAAGCACGGCCGUGCAUGCCCUGCACCUCUACGACACUGCGCGAAUGCACGCCCGCGCAGACAUCGGCGGCGUCAAGUGCUACGCGGUAGUCCGUGCGAGCUCUCGCCGAUGCUCGUUGCCUUCUCUUCGCUGGUCCGUGCGAACCAUGGGACCUUCUGCUCCUCUUCCAAGCGCGCCCGCAGAUGCCGCCUUCGACCAGGACUCGUGUAUGCGGCGCUUCGGCGACAAUGACCGUGACCAAGCCGCGUUCACCGCCGUCUGUAGACUGUGGCGCCGCGUGUCGAGCACCACCAGCACGGCUCAACCGCAACUCCCUGCACCAAGGACACGAAUGACACAUUUUUAUGGGCAUAACUCAUGAUUCGCGUGCGCCUGUUACUCGCAUGUUCUCGCCGGGAAGGGGUCAACAUCAUGUACGUACGUGCGUGUCUUGCCGGCGAUCAUCUAGCUCGAUUUUCACGUGAGCAUCCAAAGCCAAUUUUGCUGGUACGUAAAGCUCGACCGCCCUGGCGCCUGCGGCCCUGCCCGUGCUGGCCGCAUGACCUGGACGGCAAGCAUGGCGAAGGCCAGCACCCCGUGAGCCAGGCCACCAUGGCCGAGCAUGUACACAACAUACAGUGCCAUCGCUGUUCGUGGUGUGGCAGUCUAGCCCGGAUGACGUCUCAUGUUUUUAGUUAAAACCGUGUUCACGUCGGAUGAAAACCACAAAAAGUGGUACAAAAGGACCGAUCUUAUCCCGGUUAAGGAGUUGAGGAACCAAGGUUUGCCGGUUUUGAAGUUGAAGGAUAAGUUCUAUAUUUUCGAAAGAGUUGAGGGACGAAAAAUAUACUUCUCCCUAUAGAAUUAGAAGACAAGGAUUUUACAUAAUAUAAUGCUGACAUCACCAUCGAUAAUAAAAAUGUAAGUGAUUAUCGGCUAAAGUACCAUGAUUAUCAGUGAAUAAAACAAUUAUGUCCAGCAGCAUUAUCAUUAUGAUUACCCAAUGAAGAGACUUGUAUAAAAUAAAAAUUAUUGUAUUGCCUUCAGCGAAGAAUACAAUAUCUUUUUUGUAUUUUUUUUGAGGCACUCUUUUUUGUAUAUCAUUAAGAAUACAAUAUCUUUUUUGUAUAUUAUUUUAUGCUCUACGCUAAGGGUCUCUGAUUCUAGUUUUGCCCCGGGCCCCCGAACUCUCUUAAUUAAGGGCUGACACGUCAGUUGGACCAUUGGCCCAGCCCAAAGAAUCAACAAAGAGGAAAGGGGGUCGACAGCUGCGCUGUAGGGUUAGCUCGAUUGGCUCGGCGGGCUGCGGCAGCGGCGGCGGCGAGUUAGGAUUCUGCACAGGAGGAGGAGGUCGUGCACAUGGAGUUUCUCUUCCUUGACGAGGAGGACUGGGCGGAGAUGGAGGCGGAUAAGGAGAAGGAGGCGGAGAGGCGCCGGCGGGAGGAAGAGGAGAAGGCGCGGAGGACGGAGGAGAACCGGCGGAGACGCGAGGCACACGAUGCGGUCAUGGACUCCAUCAUCCAGCACGAUCCCAAGGUGGGGCGCGACGUCUACACCCGAUUCUUUCUCAGAGAUUUCUCCGUCUUUGACAUCAACGAAGAGUGUAAGCAGCCUCUAUAUUCAUCCACAAUUGUGUUUCCUUGGUUGAUAUUUGUAAAUUUCCGAAGUAUGCGAACUGAAUUACGGUAUGUAUGGCUAGCCUGUAUAACCGUCUGCAUGAGAAUGCUCUGAUAUGCCAUGCUCAUUAUUAAAUAUUAAUGCAUGCAUACCAGUAAACAACGAAUAUGGAUUCAUUUAUUUGGAUUUUGAUUCAUAUGUAUCACUUUACAACAGGGAUCACUGUAUUUUGCUAAAACUGUAUCAACUUUGUACAAAUGGUGGGACUAUAGUUUUCUCUCAAAUUUAACUCGUAAGUGAAAUAAGAAUAAGAAUGUAUUAUAACGUUUAACUCACUGGGAUAGAAAUGGAAAGAAGGGCUGUUUAUUCUGAUGAAAUAAUUUGAUAGAUUUGUUUUGCUUAUUCACUGCAGCGUCUGUCCCUCCAAUGCGAUACACCGAUAGUAUCUAUGAAGAAGAAUUUGGGUUAGAAGACUCUGCAAACAUACUCUCCGUCAGCAUAGUCUCCUCAGAUGUAGGUUUCCCAGUCAAUGUCUAUGGCCGUGUCAUUGCCAGAGACAGCAUUGACUACAAGUGCACUUAUCUCUUUCACCGCAGUAGAGAUGAUUGCCAGCGUCUCAACAAGGUACAUCCUUGCUUCUAAGUUUGUUCCAAUCGGGUUUCAUUUUACUCGAUGAUGCAUUUAAUAUCAACUGUUAAUAGACAUCUAAAUAUAUGAACAGGAGUCAUCUUAGUGCUUGUGAAGUAGUGAUUGUCGAUCCAGAUAGUCAUCUGCCUAUAAAUGGAGUAGCUUUUAUGGCAUGCUUCCAGUCUUCAUUUUGAGCAGUAUUUGGAUGAGCAUACUUUAAUCUCUCGCACCAUUCUUUUCGUAGGAUGGAAUGCUGAUUUUAACUGGCCCAGGUCGAGGACUAGUGCUGGUUGAUUUCAUCUAUCUAGAGAUAGAUCUUAAAAUCAGGGAAGAUGGAGUGUCUCCAGACAAGCCAUUUAGCAAGGGUCUAAUAAAUAUUGAUGGCCGAGUACUGUCUAGAGAGGAAGAUGUCGUGGUUAGAAGGGAAACCCUUGAGAGCUGGCUUAGCACUAUGGAAGUGAGAUUCACAACUGUCCUGAACGCAGCCGAGUGCACCAUUGAAAUCAAGCUCAUUGAGGGGCUUUUUAAAGGAAAUAUAACAGUUGGCAUCGCGGAUAAAGCUCACAAGCUGGACAUGGAACAAACGAUUGUGAUUCAUGAUAGCACAGCAGAUGGCGUGAUUACAAGUGAUGAAAGUGGAGUUAUCAAACUGCGGCGAAGUGUCAUUACUAUCUGUCUGGAAAGAACAGUGGUGUUUUAAAUCAAUAAUGUGGCUGCUGGUGUUUGUGCUGAACGAACCUUUGAUUUCACUCCACACCGCACUGGUGCAGAUGAAGAGGAAAUUACAUGUGGUGCUGGGAAGUUCGGAUUCAGGGUUGUCUGGUCCUUGAUGGACUUUAGGCUCUAAUCCCGUGGCUUAGUAAACUUAGUUCUGAUGUAAUGGAGUGAUGCAAUGAUGUGAUUCACUAAGUUACAUUAUUGUUAUUAAGUAAAUUGAUGGAUUAUAAGUAAUGAGUAGCGAACUAAGUUAUUAUGUAUUAUGGUGGAGUCGUAUACUGAAUUUGUUGGUUUAAUUUUUUGGCAUAAUUAAAGAAGUUUAGUGCACUUGGCAUUUUGUUAGACAUGUAUUAGGCAGAAAUAUGAACAUAUAUAUGUCACUUUAAGGGACUUUUCUAUCAUAUUUAUCUAUGGUUUGUAUUGAUUUCUCAUGAUCACUUAUGUGUU
rnacentral:lncRNA from 1 species